ACCAAACAUGUUCAUGCGUGGCAUUGCUCAAGUCAUCAUCAUUCGAGACAGAGAAUAAGCCUUCAAGUGUCUGCUGAGUCAAUGAACCUUUCUAGAUAUCUCAAGUGUAAUGGAAAUUGAUGAGUUACAAAGGAUUUGUAAACAUUUUCUACUGGAGGCUAGAAAUGCUUCAAAUAAAUGACCGUGUUGCAAUUAUUUUGUAGGAUCAAAGACUCUGCAAAGAGGUAAGAAAGUCAUCAUCAAGUAACUUUGCUCUUCAAACUUUUUAUUUUUAUUUUUAAAUAUCAGUAAUAACUGGGAAAGCUUGCAUCUCCUUAAAUUGCUCAUUCUUACAUCUUUUAUAGUUUGUUGAUCUUGGGCAAGUGGAGAGAGAGGCGUCAAGUGAUACGCAACAACCAUUUUCUGUGAGCUGAUUUGAUAAAGAGAAAUGGUAUGCUUUCUUGUCUUAAGCGGUGUGUUCUGCAAUUAUUUGAAACAAAGGAUGCCGCACUUCAAGUUCGAGAAAAUCAGGUAUUUUAGUAUUUUAUUCUUGAGAAAUUUGAUUUAUGUAGAAACUUGAACAUGUAAAUAAAAUAAAUAAAAUAUAUUAUAUGCUGUUAAUGAGUUAAUAUGGUGCUUGCUUCUAGUUGGAAAUUUAUGUAGUCAUCUACCUAUGAUCAAAUAAAGAUGAAGAAUAAAAUAUAAUUGAGAGCAUCUUCCUCUCCCCUGCUUUGCUCAUCCCUUGUUCUUCCACUUCAGCCCCACUAUUACACCAUUUUUUCAGCCACAAUUAUAAUAGCUCCAUGAGCAUUAAGUCCUUUUCAAAUUCUGCUGACAUUCAAAAUUGGAAUUUGCUGGUGAUAUAUGAUAGCAUCUUUGUCCGACCAAAAAGAGAAAAAAAAAAAGUUGAUAGCAUAUUGUACCAUUUUGGCCAGUGUACGCAAUAUUAUUGCAUCCAACUUUGCAUAUUAACAUCAGUGGCCACAGUUCCAUGAUUUGAGUGCACAGAAAAGUUUCAAAAGUUGUCCCACAAAGAACAGUCGUUCAAAGUGAAAGAGAGAUUUCAAAGCUUAAUUACAAGUUCAUGUUAUUUACAAUAUCAAAAAGCUUUCAUACUUGCUUACAAACCUGUAUUUCCAAGUUCUGCAAACCUUGGAAUAUCACUUCAUCCAAAUCCCCUUCCAAAGCAGGAAAAAAUGGCAGCAGCUUUGAUUGGAGAGGCUCUCAUCUCUGCUUCUAUCGUGGUGUUGUGUGACAGAGUUACUUCAGCCGAGUUCAUAGACUUAUUUCAGCAGAAGAAACUUGAUGAAACACUCCUCAUGAACCUGAAGACGACACUGUUGAUUUUGUUUGCGGUGCUCAAUGAUUCAGAGGAGAAGCAAAUUGUGAACCCUGAAGCUUUGCGAUGCAAGCUGGAAGGUGAGGAUCAAACCCACAAUAAUUAACCAAAAAGGAUCUUUUUGAUUGUUUGAAAGGAGGGUCUUGAUGAUUUGAAAGGAGAGGGUUGCUUUAUUUCUGUUGGAUGCUUAAUUAAAUCUUAUUUGGAGUUGAACAAGGAUUAGGUUAGCUGUAUAAUUAGUGGUAAACGCCUUUUUCUAAGGGUCAUUUAGACUCCUAUUACGAUUAAUUUGUUGUUUCUAAUUUGGACUUGUAGGAACAGACCAAAUAUGUUCACACGUGGCAUCGCUCAAGUCAUCAUCAUUUCAGACUGAAAAUCAGCCUUCGAGUGUCUGUUGAGUCAAUAAACCUUUCUAGAUAUAUCAAGUGCAAUGGAAAUUCAUGAGUUACAUAGAGAUUUUUAAACAUUUUGAAGAUUGCAACACCUGCAAGUGAGAUAGGCGGUGACGAAAUCAGAGCUGAUUUUGAAGCCUCUGAUGCCCCUGUUGUUGCAAGUUGCACCUGAGAACAAGUUUUUUUUUUCUUUGGGGUAAAAAACUGGCAACAUGUUCGGAGCUGACAAUUCAAUCCCUGAUGAACUAGAGAAGCAAAGCUCCGGUAAGGAAAUUGGUCAAGGUUGUGACAGGGAUGAUUGAUGGUGAAAUGGAUGCUAUUUCUUAUUGCAGCCUGUUCUCAAAGUUCUUGUUGGCAAAUGCAAUUGAUGGAGUAUUUUGAUUGGGAGGAGAGAUAAUGACAUGGCUUGACAAUUCUAGAACAGCCCAUCAUUAAUCCCAGAAAAAAUCCCGUUUCUGCUAAACAAUCACUUAUGGCAAGGCCAACUCUGUAAAUGGAAUUUGUGAUCCCUUCAAAUUGUACACAUUUUUUCUUUUUGAGGAAUUUAAUCAAACAGUAUUCUAAUGCAUUAUGAUAGCACUACACGCUUUUGUUGUAACAAAUUACAAGGAGGAAUUUGGAUUGAGUUUCUUGUAUAAGCACACCUUACACAAAUUUCGUAUAUUUUCUUCCAGCAAGUCUGUUUAUUAACCCCCUUAUCUGAAAUUAAUUGUUAAAAGUUUUGAUUCAUCUUUAAUCAGUGUCUUACCCUUGUUGAAUAACACUCCUCUUUCUAAUUUAUAUUUGAAGUUUGAGCUUUCAAUUUCAAUUGUGGGCUUUGAUUUUUCAGAUUUUGUUUGUCAAUUUCAGUUUGGACAAAGCAUAUAUGCAAACAAAGUAAGCAUUUUAUGUUAUACUUUUGAACUAGGUGUUGAUUUGAUUUAAUCAUAAGUUUUGCUGGUGCAUUUACUAGGCUAAUCAUUCAAUACUUUUGAUCAUAGAACUUCUUUGGUUGAUAUUAUCUUUGUUAAGUUUAACCAUAACUUUAGAGAGGGGACUUCAACAGAUUUAUAAUCUCAUCAUUAUAGUAUUAAAAAUUAGAGAUUAUUUAAGGCAUUGUCUAUUAUCUGAAUUCUGCUUACUUUUAGUUCAUAUGUUUACAUCUUAGCAUAUUCAUGUGAUUAGUGCGGCUCAUACCACAAAGGCAAUUUUAGGCUCAUCAAGUGCUAAGCAAUGUCAAGCUUCCAAAUGACAAGUUCUCUACAUAGUUUGAGACCUACACUUACUAGAUAUUAGAUCAUUUCGAUCAUUUCCAUAUGUUUAUAUGUAAUUGACAUGUUAUAACAUUUUUGUAGCGUUAUAUAAUUAUUUAGCAAUUUAAUUAUUUCUUUGCAACUUAAUUUUUUUUGUCAAUCAUACUAUUGUUGACUGCUAAAAACCAUCAAGAAAUAGUUCUCAAGUUAUAAAAAAAAAAAAAUUUUAAAAAAGAUUUGUUGAUGCUUAAAAAGCAUCAAGAACAGAUAGUUUCUUGACGGUUUUGUGACAUUUCAUAACUGUAGGGGGCUUUUUCUUCCGACAGCUGUAAAUGGGCUGGGCUGCCGUAAAGGGCAGACUGAUGAAAUUGUCCCCUUUUGUAUGAGCUCAAAAAUUAAGCCCCAAAAUACUUUGAAAGGGCAGCAGAGCCUUAGGAAGUAUUUUGGUUACCCUCACCAACUAAAACAACAACAACUUACAGGUAAUUACUUAAUGCUUAUGGAUGAACUCUUGAGCUUGGCAUGAGAGACAUAUGGCAUGGAAGCAAAAUCAACAUGAGUUUAGCACUGAGGGGAAAUUUAGGCUCUCUUGGGGGAAAAAGGGAAGUGUUAAGGUGAGAGAGGAGAAGUUUGUAGGAGAUUUAGCUAAGAAAGGAGAAAUAUAGAACAAUGCUCUUUUGGCAGCUUGACAGAUGCUCUGUUUGCCAGAAAAGGAAGAUGGAGAAGAAAUGUGAAUAGUGCAAGAGUUUGCUAGAUUUUUGCAGGUAAGAGAGGAAGCUUGCUCUCUGGGUCUGAGUUGAGUUUUUUUGUGUGGAAGAGACCUCAUUUUAUAGCCCUUGGAAACCAUCACUUCCCAAGAAACCCUAAUGGCUUCUACCCAUUUUGGCCAAGCUUUUCCCUUCCUUUCUCAUUUCCUUCCUUGACUUUACCCCUCUUGAUGAAAUCCCCUCUGCCUAUUUGCACCAUAUCAGAGUUUUUUGAAGCUCAAGGCCCCUUUUUCCCGCAGUUGUCUCAAUGGGAGACUUCCAUUCCCAGUCAUCUCCUUUAUUGCUUUCCUUUCUUUUUUUCAUGGCCAAGUUUGGUGGGGAAAGGAGUUGGGAUAUAUAUGCUGGUUUGAAGGGUGCUUCUCUUCCUGGCAUCUUACACACUAAUACCCCUUGGUUCCUUGAAUGUUUUGGCUUUGAAACUUGCUCUCCCCCCCCCCCCCCCCCCCCCCAUGUACUGGAACCUACCAGCAGCUCUAUUCAAUGAAUCUUCAGACCUUCUCUUCGUGGCUUUUAUUUUUUAUCAACGGGCUGGGGCUUUUGUGGCUCAUUGUGGCAAUUGUAUGGGCUAAGGUGGUUCAUUAAGUAAGUGGGCUAUUUUUAUUAAACAUUAGGCUUUUUGGUUGAGUCACUAGGCUAUUUUGAUUGGGCUAUUGGGCUAUUUUUUUCCUCUCUUGUGCUCACCCACAUGUUUGGACCAAAGAAAUGAGCUUGAGUCCUGAGGCUCCCAAGCGACCCGAGACUUUCCAUUUCUGGCCCAUCAAUGGGCCUCAUGUUGAUUUAUUACCAUCCAUACCACAACCCACUCAAGCAGGCUCCGGGCAUUUGAAUGACUUGGGCGCACUUAGGCUUGUAGUGUGGUUGGGUGCGAAAUAACGAUUUCGUGCUUGGCAUGUUUUAAUUUUAUCAUCCUUGGGAAAGGCUGCGAUGUUUGAUUUCGGCAUGGGCUUGUAGAGCUGGUAUGCUUUAUUUCAACUCCUAGCAUGACGAAUUAUUUAUUUAGCAUGGCACGUGAAUUACAACUCGCAUGUGGUGGGUUUUUGUGUACUACACCUUACGCCUCUUCUUAAUAGAACAUCGUUUUGGGCUGAUAAUUUAUUCGGGCCAAACCGUGAAUUUUUUGGGUCUCAAUAAUAACCAUCAUGAAACAUUACAUUUUGACUGACGUCAAGAAAUGGGGUAUCCCUUUCCUGAUAGUGGCAUCCAUGAUGCCUUCCAAGCAGUCAAUUAAGGGCUAUCGUGAUGCAUUUUAGUUGUCAGCAAAAGGUGUUUUUCUUGUACUGUAUUCACUCAAAGUCGUGUUUCAUUUAAGAUUAGUAGUAUGGUUGAAUACCAUUUGUUUUGUUAAAGAAUAUUAUACAUUAGGGAUUUUUGUAGAAAUGUCAUUUGAACUUAUACCUUAGUUUCAAUUUGUCACCUUGAAGAAAAAUUUAAGAGAAAUGUCACCUUAAUUUUUAAAAAUCCAUGAUUUGUCAUAUGACUUUAAAAUCAUCCAAUUUUCCAUCCAUUUUAAGGGUAUUUUAGUCUUUUCAUUUUGAAGGAAAAAAAAGAGAUGAAAAAAGAGACCUCUCUCUUACUUUGUCCCUCAACCCAACCCCACCCGCCCCCCAAAACACAUCACAUAGGAUUGCCUCCCCCUUCCCCACUUUUCUUUUUUCUUUUUGUCCUACUUUUCCACUAUGUUUAUGUUGAAGGAUCUAAAGUUUGCUUGGUCACCAUCUGUUACGUAGGCUUCCCAAUUGUUAGUUUGGGUGGGUUGUGGGAAUUUGUGUGCUCGAAACCCGAGACGAAUCUUGUGGAAUUCCCGACAUCACACCGAUGCCGGGCCCACUUCUGAACUAAAUUCUCUUUUCCAAAAUUAAGGAAAAAGAGUACGAGGCUUUCUGCCGAAAUUUCGACAGAGUAUUCCCUAUAAAUUUAACAUUUCAGCUUUGGUGGCCGUUCUCUCAUUUCAGCUUUGGUGGCCGGAUGAGAGAACGGUCGGCUAAAACGUGGCCAGCUGGCACUGCCGUCGCGAGAGAGAGAGAGAGAGAGAGAGAGAGAGAUUUUUAUCAAAUCAUUUUUGCCAAAAUUACGAUUAUGCAACUGAGGGUAUUUUGAUCGUAUCUUUUUCAUUAUAACUCUGAUUCAAGCCCACUACGUGUUUACGGACUCAUCUCGCCGUGCUCUAUGCAAUUGUAUAGUUGAAAUUCCCAAAUUCCACCCCAGUCAAAAAUUCAACUUUAAACCCUACAAAAUAUUAUAGGGGCAAAAUGGUCUUUUAUCUAAUUAAAUUAAUAAUUGAAAAUUUAUUUAGGACCGGGUUGUUACACUGUCGUUGAUGGACUGUGCGAUGACACUCACACAAAGUCCUUGAGAAUAAAACACACACACACCAUGAAGAGAGUAAAACAAAUACACAAGUACACAAAGAUUUAUAAAGGUUUGGCCUUCUGCCUACGUCCUCUUGGUGAUCCACCCGAGAAAUUCACUAGUACGUAAGAACAACUUUGGUUACAACUAAACCCCCUUAGCUUUCAUAAGAACCCUAGAUCUCUUUUCUCCCACCCUUGCUCCAACCCUUUGAUGCCCUUGUAAACACUCAAGAAUUCACCCUUGAAUUCUGUCAUGUGUUACAUCUUCUCUUCUCCCCUUUGUUAACCUAACCCUAAAAGUUAUAUUUAUAAUUCAUAGGACUUUAAGUACAAGUUAACUAGGAAUAGGAAACAUAAUAGACCUCAAAAAUUGGAGAAAAUAUGUUUAGAUCUCGUUAGGAAAUUGCACAACACGUGCGAUCCGCUCGAGCGCCUGCAAAAUGAUCCCUUUGUCGCUCAAGCUGCCGAUAGCUCAUGGGAUGGGGGAAUUAGAGAUUUUUUUUUUUUUCAAUUUUAAUUGUUUAAAAGAUAUACAAUUUUUUAAUAAUAAUUUUUCCAUUUUUAAAAUACCCUUGAAAAUAGAAAGAUUAAAAUGCCCUUAAAAAUGGAUGGAAAAUUGGAUUGCGUUAAGGUCAGUUGACAAAUCAUGGAUUUUGAAAAAUUAAGGUAACAUUUCUCUUAAAUUUUUCUUUAAAGUGACAAAUUAAAAUUGAGGUAUAAGUUCAAGUUACAUUUAUGCAAAAAUCCUUAUACAUUAUGAUAUUCUAACAAUAAAAUUGGCUAAAAUUGAUAUGUUCCCUCUUUAUUUUCUUUUUCUCUUUUCCUUUUCAUUUUAUGAUCCAAUCCUUUUCAUAUAUUUUUGUUCAAGACUUUGUUUUAGAAUGCUCUAUUACUAAUUUGGUACAGGUCCCUAAAAUCUCGGAGCCGCCUUAGUACAUUCAUAAUGUACAUGUUCAGAGUUCAAGAAUAAUGUAUAGAAUGUGAAAUUGACGAUGCCGGCCUUUAUGAGGCAACGUCUUUAUUUCUUUGGUUAUUACAGUUUAGAAUAUUUGCACAAAUGAGAUGAUUCCAAGCAUAAAGUCACAUUCGACCAAAAAGCAUGAAGUCACACACAAAAAGAACACGGACAAUUGCUAAGUUUAUCCUUGUACCCUUAUUUUAUUGAUCCGACCCAAUUGAAAAUUAAAAAAAGAUGAUAAAAAAUAUUGUUCACUACUUUAAAAUCUAUGAGUAGAGUCCUCCAUUUGAAAUUUCGUCAUUAUACAAAAUUGGAAUGAAAAAAGAAAAUCCUACAGCUAAAUUUGAUAUAUUUCCUUUUCAUUUUAUGCUGGGUGUUAGGGCUUGUCAAUGGGCCGGGCUAGGCUAGCCCGGCUCAAAUUUAAUGGGCUUGGGCUAGGCCGGGCCAAGCUUUAAAGAGGAGAGAGAAAAUAUCCGGCCGAGUUUUUUAAGAAAAUUCAAAGCCCAAGCCCGAAUCACUGCUGUCUAGCCCGGCCCAAAUUUAAUGAGCUUGGGCCAGGCCGAGCCAAGCUUUAAAGAGGAGAGAGAAAAUAUCCGGCCGAGUUUUUUAAGAAAAUUCAAAGCCCAAGCCCGAAUCACUGCUGUCAUUUCAUUGAUUUGUGACGAGCACAACCACCAAAUCAGAAUUUACUCACGAAAAUAUCAAGUAUGUCUAGCAAAUUUCAAUUUUGAAUAAUACACAAUUUCAAAAGGAGGACAUGUUGCAAGACAGCAUACCUUCUCUUGGGGUGCUUUUCAUUUUGCAACAUUUCUUUACGUGUAAUUUCCAGAGGAGGGUUUAUCAUUGUAUAUAGCUUUUCGGGUGGUUUGUCUACAAAACAAAUGUCACAAAGAAGGAGGAGAAACGGAAAAGAUUUACUUGGAAUGUCUCAAGUCUCCUUUGAGAUAAAGGCAUCGAAUGCACAACAUUGCUUUUGUGCUAUUUCAUAAUUAAAGUGUGCUUCCCAAGUCUCCUUUGUGUUUUGUAACUUGUAAUGUUUGUUUUUUUGUUUCCCCUGUUUUCCCUCUUAUAAAAGAAAUACAGGUCCAAACCACACGGAUCUACUUGCAUAAUAAUGGACCAAAUUUAUGAUUUUUAGAAAGAACCUUCUGCCGGUGGAAUCUUGGGCUACUGUUGUGGCUCUCCUCUGUGUGCCUCCUUUUUAGAACGGUAAAAUAUUCAAAAUACUAGAAAAUGUUCGUGAUUAAUAUAAAUAUUAAGAAUUGAAAUUAUUAAUUAAAUGAGGAUAAUAUGGUAAAUUCACACUUUUUUAUAUUAAAAAAAUUAAAAUUAAAAGAAAAAUCAGAUAAUUGAUAUUAUUUUUAUGGAACACAGCUACUCAUUAUCUUUUUUAAUUCUAAAAUAAAUUUAAAUUAAAGAAAAAAACCCCUCUCACAGGCACGGAAGCGCGUGCUCAGAGGCUAGUUAAAAAUAAUGAACUUUGCUUCUGAAGACGUCUAUACCAGACCCACUCAACCUGCUUUAUGAUUAUACAAAGAACAAACUCGUCCUUAGACUCAUUUGGUUAAACUUAGAAAAUAAUGAAACAAAAAUAUGCACUCCCACAAGUAACACAGCCAGGAUUGAAAACAACUGGACAAAGAAAGGCAUGUUAAAACAGAAUUUUCAACAACUCAUCACCAUUAGACAAGAAAAAGAAAAAUCAAUACAAAAACAGAAAGAACAGAGAAUAAAUGUGGUGGAAGAAAAACGUUGAAGCCAUUUGUGAAUCCAACAACACUACCACUCUGUUUCUCUCCUUUUGUUCAGGCGGAUCUGCAUAUAUCCUAAGGCGUAUUACGGAAACAACUUCUUGCCGUUAUACUUGAAUGUUGUGGAUGCUUCAACGUUGCCAUCUGGGUGGAGUGGAUUUGUCCAAUUCACCUUCACUAUGGUAUAUACGUCCAAAUUGUUGUUAUUUGAAAGGCUUCUAAAUUUUAACAUUUUGAUUUUUAAAUUUUGUUUAAAUAUUUCGGCCCACUUAGUUCUUCUCAAAAUAUGUCAUCAAUAUCGUUGAAAGGUUGAACUUAGUGAAUUAUUAUAGUGCAGUACUGUAGAAUAGACACAUGAUAUAAUUUGUCCACAUGUUAUAAUAUAAGUAAAUAUUUAUUGAUAUUAUUUCUAAAAAUAAGAAAUAUCAACCAUUAUAUCCUCCCAUAUUAUAAUACAUAUACAAAUUAUACCACAUUAUCAUACUCUAAUACCAUUUUAUAAUUUCUCGUACUUAGAGCGAGUCAAUGACAUUACAUAAUAUAUAAUUGUUCAUAUAAUGGGGCAACUAACGUGAUCAACAAGUUGUGGUGAUUAAUUUAACAUAAUAAAAAAUAUACCAUUUACUUGAGUGAUGUAACAAUUUGUUCUUUUAAAUUGGAUUGCCAUCACUUUAAUAUGAUAUGUUUCUUAUUAUAGUGUCCCAUGUUAAGUGCUUCAGCAUUGUUUGUGGUGUGUACACAAAUUUUCUUAUAAAAUGUUUUAAUGCUUCUCACAUGUAUAUCAGAUAUAGACAGUUGAUGUGACUUAGAAAUCAAAUUGUCAAUAAAGCAAAAAAAUAUAAUUGGUGAUUGAGGUCCAAUUUAAUAGAAAAUAGUCUUAACUUGUAUAUUAGAGGUUUCAGAUUCGAAUCCUCACUGCAUUAUUGUUGUAUACGUACACGAGAAAUCCUCUUCUCCAAUAAUUUAGACUAUCACUUAUACUAAAAAAAUAUAUAUAUAUAAUGACUUUUACGGAUGCAAACAUAAAAUUACACCAAACAAUAAUGGAAUAGAAAGAUGCAAGUUAUUUUUUUUUUUUUUACAUCUAAAGUAUACUUUAUAUAUAUAUUUAUUAUGGGUGUUAUAACCGUUUAAUUUUCAGUUUUUAUUUUCUAUUUAUUGUUUUAAUUUUUAUGGUUUAAUGUGUAUGAAGAUUACAAGUAUUGGAUGUCUACCACUCCUCCUUCACAUCUGAAACAAACCACCAUCUCAUUUCUGUAUUUUCAUACUUUCAUAUAUUUUCUACUUUCCAGAUUAUUAUUUUUGGGCAACGGUUCUGUGACUUGCAGAUUUCUAUCCGAUUGUUAACAUGCUCAUAGCGGACCUUGAGCUUGCGUAUUGGGGAUCGUAUCUUGGAGCCUUAUAGACCUUUAUUACCUGCAUGUAGGGAGGUUAUAAAUGCUUUAGGUCAGCAUCUUUGACGUGCUUUUGCUUUCUUUUUUUUUUUACUUAUUUCUUCGUUUCUUUAUUUUUACUUUACUUUUAAAUUUUUAUUUUAUGUAUUAUUUAUAUUUAAAAGUUUUGAAUAAGAGUUUUACAGAAAAGGAAAAACACAAUUUCAAAUAACACAAAUUUCUCGUUUUUGGUUCUUAAAAUAAAUGAAUUUUUUACUUAUUUGUGAACUGAAAUGCCUCUAAAAAAAUAAUGAUAGUUUGAAGAAUUUGAUAGAAAUUAAAAAAUAUCCUCAAAUUACUUGGAAUUGAAGACCACAUAGGCAAAAACACCAUUUUGGACAAAGGCUGGUGAUAAUAGUCGAUAUCAUCUUUAAGUACUUUAAUAUGAUAUGUUUCUUAUUAUAGUGUCCCAUGUUAAGUGUUUCAGCAUUGUUUGUGGUGUGUACACAAAUUUUCUUAUAAAAUGUUUUAAUGCUUCUCACAUGUAUAUCAGAUAUAGACAGUUGAUGUGACUUAGAAAUCAAAUUGUCAAUAAAGCAAAAAAAUAUAAUUGGUGAUCGAGGUCCAAUUUAAUAGAAAAUAGUCUUAACUUGUAUAUUAGAGGUCUCAUAUUCGAAUCCUCACUGCAUUAUUAUUGUAUGCGUACAUGAGAAAUCCUCUUUCCUAAUAAUUUAGACUAUCACUUAUACUAAAAUAUAUAUAUAAUGACUUUUACGAAUGCAAACAUAAAAUUACACCAAACAAUAAUGGAAUAGAAAGAUGGAAGUUUUUUUUUUUUUUCCUACGUCUAAAGUAUACUUUAUACAGUCCCGAUCUCUUGGACCACAGGAGUCCAAGAGAUUGUGGUCACCCACCGUUGGAUAUUAAUCCAAUGGUUCAAAAUGAUAUAUAUAAAUGCAAUAUGACAUAAAUGAUUAUUACCCGAUCCAAGUCAACCGUUGAAUUUACAUUCAACGGUGGGUGACCAUAAAUCUCUUGGACUACAGGGGUCCAAGAGAUCAGGACUGAUACUUUAUAUAUAUAUAUAUAUAUAUUUAUUUAUUAUGGGAGUUAUAACUGUUUAGUUUUCAGUUUUUAUUUUCUAUUUAUUGUUUUAAUUUUUAUGGUUUAAUGUGUAUGGAGAUUACAAAUAUUGGAUGUCUAUAAAGGGCCACUCCUCCUUCACAUCUGAAACAAACUACCAUCUCAUUUCUGUAUUUUCAUACUUUCAUAUAUUUUCUACUGUCCAGAUUAUUAUUUUUGGGCAACGGUUCUGUGACUUGGAGAUUUCUAUCCGAUUGUUAACAUGCUCAUAGCGGACCUUGAGCUUGCGUAUUAGGGAUCGUAUCUUGGAGCCUUGUAGACCUUUAUUACCUGCAUGUAGGGAGGGUACAAAUGCUUUAGGUCAGCGUCUUCGACGUACUUUUGCUUUCUUAUUUCUUCGUUUCUUUAUUUUUGCUUUACUUUUAAAUCUUUAUUUUAUGUAUUAUUUAUAUUUAAAAGUUUGAAUAAGAGUUUUACAGAAAAGGAAAAAUACAAUUUCAAAUAACACAAAUUUCUCGUUUUUUGUUCUUAAAAAAGAAGAAGCAUUGAUUGGGGAGUUAUGGUAAACUCAAUUUCAAUGGUUGCGAUGAGAGGCGGUGGCGGCGAGGAGAGGACGAAGGCUUUGCUGCCGACGGGGUGGUGUGGGUGGGUGGAGACCUCGGCUGGCUGCUUGGUCCUGGGUUCUCCUUUAAUUCUCUGUUUUCUUUUUUCUUUUUCUUUUUCUCUUAGAGUUAUUGAUGUUAAGUGAAUGGACAGAUGCCAAAAUAGGGACAGAAGUAGGGGUGGGCAUCAAUCCGGCCGAUCCGGUCAAUCCGGCCGAACCGAUUAUAUUGGAUUGGUUUGGUUUGGUUUUGACCAAAGAAAAAGUCAACAUUUUGAAAAACCGAACCGAACCGGUUUGGUUUGGUUCAGCUGUGGUUUGAGAGUUUUAAAAACUGUCCUAAACCGAACCGGACCGAUUAUAAAUCAAUUUAUUAUUUAUUUAAUUUAGUUUACAUGUGGCAAGGUUUGUGUGCGUUUUGUGAGUCCGCGUAUCUGAAUGUUGGUGCACGUUUUGAUCUUCUAAUUUGCAUAUCCCAGUUAUUUGUGUGUGCUUGUAUUUCCCUCUCUUUCUAUCUCUACUAUGUGUGUUUGCUCUUUGUGUUGUGUGGCUCUUCUUACUCUAUCUAUCUUAAUUAAUGGGUCCAUUUCAUAAUUUCAUACGCAUUCAAACUCCACCUCUGUGAUAAAAACAUUUACCUCUUUGUGAUAAAAGCUUUUCAUUUGUUUGUAUUUCUCUUUGGCUUUUUGACUCACUCACUGUCUUUCUUUCUUUUAAUGCUACUUGUGAUGAAUGCAAUGAGUAAAUUUAAUGCUACUUGGUUAAUGCAAAUUUUGUAUAUGUUUGUUUUGAUGGAAAUUGUGAACUUAGAUGCAUGCUAGACAUUGGACAACCUUUGAAUAAAUGGAAUGAUGUUGUAUUAGCCUUUGAUGGAAUGAAAUGAAAUGAUAUAAUGGCAAAAUGUUAGCAUUAUAAUGUAAGAGCAGGUUGAAAAAUGCAUGGUUUUGUGUUAGGCACAAACCGGCCGAACCAAUCCGAACCAAACCGAUUACAAGUGGUUUGGAUUGGUUCGGUUUCCAUUAUGAUUUUAGGCUAAUCCGAACCAAACCGGACCGUUAUUUUCUUAUUGGUUCAGCUGUGGUUUGAGAGUAAAACCGAACCAAUCCGGACCGUGCCCACCCCUAGACAGAAGAUGUGAACCCAAUUAUAUACAGCUGAUUACAUAAAGUAACAAAUUAAUUAAUACUUGAGUGGAGGACAGGCUUGAGUGGAAGAAUUGAUUAAGGCUUGAGUGGAAGACCAACUUCAGUGGAGGAAAGUAUAGAUAAGGAAAGCAUGCCUCGUUUAACGGCUUUAUCUAAUAAAGAUUAGUUGUUGGCACUUGGAGUUUCUUAGGAAUGCUGGUUUUGUUUCCUUGGUGGACUUGAAAGGUGGUGCGUUGGCUCGGACAUCUCCCUAGUAAUUAAUCGAAGGUGGAAUCUUACAAGACAUACAGCUGCUCAUUAGCUGAAUAUCUCGCUCUCUUUAAAGAGAUCGAAGCAAACUGCAAUUUGCAAUUUGUGUGAUUCAAGCAUGAAUAUCUGAUAUAGUAACUAUACCAUUUGUUGGUUUGAUAAGAAAAGUUUGGUUAGCGAGGAUGAAACCAUAAAGUUCUCCAAAACACACAAAAAACACGAACAAUUGCUAAGUUUAUUCUUGAGUUCACACAUAUUUGUACAAAUGAGAUUACUCCAAGCAUGACUAUACCAUUUGUUGGUUUGAUAUGAAAAGUACGGGCAACGAGGAUAAAACCAUACAAACACACACAAAGAACGUGGACAAUAUACUAAGUUUAUCUUUGCGUUAUUGAUCCGACCUAACUGUAAAAUAAAAAAGAUAAAAAUAUAUAAUGUUCACUACUUAGAUCUAUGAGCACUAAAGUCCUCCUUUUGAAAUUGCACAAAACAUCACUUUUGGUCUUUGGUAAAUUUUUAAAAUAAAUGAAUUUUUUACUUAUUUGUGAACUGAAAUGCCUCUAAAAAAAUAAUGAUAGUUUGAAGAAUUUGAUAGAAAUAAAAAAAUAUCCUCAAAUUACUUGGAAUUGAAGACCACAUAGGCAAAAACACCAAAUUGCAACCUCACUUUAAUGAUAAAAAUGGUAAACUACAAAGACAAAAAUGACGUUUUGCCUUAUACAUAAUUGGAAUUUGCUGGUGAUAAUAGUCUACCAUCUUUUGUCGAUUUGCUGGUGAUAAUAGUCUAUCAUCUUUUGUCGGUCCGACCUAAAAAGAAGAAAAAGUUGAUGGCAUCUUGUACCAUUUUUGCCAAUGUGGGCCCAAACAAUUUGAAGAAGUCCACCGGCAAUUUCUCAAAAGCUAUUGUGUGAGUGUGAAGCUAAACCAAUAUUAUUUUGCAUAUACGACUCCACAUCCCCAUGUGAUGUGAGGCUACAAAAGUGUUUCCAAAACGAAAUAUGAUAUUUCAAAACGAAGCUAUGUAUAGAGUCAUUUGUAUUUGCUUUCACAAUAACAUUUGAUUUGUGAAAGCAUUUUAUAUUUAUACAUUCUGAUAUUCUAACAAAUAAAUUGACUAAAUUUGGCCAACAGGAUUUAGCCGAAUAGAAAAGUCCUUAUUUAUAGACUAGUGGUUUCAAAUUUAAAGUUUAGACUAUCGCAUGUAUUUAAAAAAAAAAAAACAAUUGGCUUAAUUUGAUAUAUUUCCUUUUUUUCCUUUUUCAUUUUAUACUGGGUGCCGUUAUUAAGUUUUAUCCUUAUUUUUUGUUGAAAAGAAAAUUGAAAAAAAAUAAUAAUUCCUACAGCUAGCAACUUCUCCACCUUCCCUUCUUCGCAACUAGGGAUGCCAUUGCAAGGUCACCAUCUCAGAUUAAGUCCUCCUUUUAAAAUUGUGUCGUUAUUCAGAAUUGGAAUAUAAUCCUGUACCACUUUGGCCACUUUUGAAGAUGUUCACCGACAAUUUCUCAAAAGCUAUUAAGCUGUACAUCCACAAUAUUAUUGCAUCCAUCCCCAUGUGAGGCUACAGAAAAAUUUUGAAAACGAAACUGGAUAUUUUAUCUCUAACAACAGCUUUCAUACUUCGUUUACCCUGUGUUUCCAAGUUGUGCUAGCUAUUUGCAAACCUUGGAAUAUUACUUCAUCCAAAUCCCUUGCAGAGAAGAGCAAGAUAUGGCUUUGAUCGGAGAAGCCCUCAUCUCCGCUACCAUCCAGACGUUUUGUGACAAAAUUGCUUCGCCUGAGUUCACCGACUUAUUUCGGCAGAAAAAGCUCGAUGAACAACUCCUCAACAAGCUGAAGACGACGCUGUUGACCUUGUCCGUAGUGCUUAAUGAUGCAGAGGAGAAGCAAAUUAAGGAACCUUUAGUGAGAGACUGGCUUGACAAUCUCAGACAUAAUGUCUUGGCUGCGGAGGACUUACUGGAUGAGAUCGACACUGAAGCUUUGCGAUGCAAGCUGGAAGAAGGUGAAGGUCAAACCCACAAUUUAACCAAGAAGGUACGUGAUUUUUAUCAACGCAUGAAUGUUGAGAUGAAAGAUUUAUUAGAAAGAUUAGAACAAUUUGUACAAGAGAAAAGUGCUCUUGGUUUGAGAGAAGGUGCUGGGAGGAAGGUUUCACAAAGAAGAACAACUUCCUUGGUUCAUGAACCUUGUGUCUAUGGUAGAGAUGAAGUCAAAGAAAAUCUGUUACAAAGAAGAGGAUUUGCCGUCAUCUCUUUCUCAUCUGAGUAUCUCGCGGUGUCCUGCCCUGGAGAAAAGGUAUAAGAAUAAGACGGGACAAGAUUGGGCAAAGAUAUCUCACAUUCCUUGCAUCAAGAUAGGAUACGAACUGAUCAUAUAAUAUGAGCUAUUCCAUAUUUCACUCUCAACCCUCAACUCUCAAAUCAAAGUCAGGUGAGGUAUGUGCCUUCUCUUACUUUAAAAAACUGCUUCUCUUCUUCUAAUUGAAUACAAAAACCAAAACACAUAUUCUCUUUCUCUUCCAAAAACCCAAAUACAUGUUGAACAUUGCCAAAUUUGAUCUCCAAAUUCCUAAUUAUUUCACGCUUUUUGUUAUUUUGUUGCUUAGUAAAUUAUGGUUGCUGGUCACAAAUUAUAGUCUGUUAAUAGGUUCAUGCCAUGAAUUAAUCUUUGGACUUUCCCAGGUACUGCAGGUUUGUUAUUAAUGUUGUGGCCUGAUAUUCGUCGUAUCAAUAGGUUGUCUUACGUUGAGGAGAGAGAUCGAUCAGCAAUUACAAAAUUGUUAGUGAAUUUAGCUUGUUUAUCAUCUCUCUCCUUUUGUUUGUUAAGUUUGGUUGUUCUAGGUUAAACCCUUGUCCCCGCAUUUCACAGCAACUCUAUGUUAUUCCACUCUGUUUAGUUUCAUUUAUGUUGUGAUUCGACUGCUGCUGUAUUUUAGAUUUCGUUCAUGUAAUGCUAGGAUGUUUAAUCUCUUAUCUGUGGUGGUAGUUGAGUAGUCUAGCUAAUCCAAUGAUAACUUGUCCCCUGUUUUGUAUUGUUUUUAUUUCUCUGGUAAUGAAAGCACGUUUCUUAUAAAUAAAUAAAAAAUAUUUCAUUGAUAUUCAUUGCUUAUUUUGAACUGCAGAAGCCUACUUUUGUCAGAGUCAGUAGAUGCCAGAAUGAAGUCAUUGCCUAAACACAUUGGCACCCUCACAGCCUUCGACAUUUUGGGAUAUAUGAUCUUCAAAAUCUUGUGUCAUUUGCCUCCCAACCUGCAAUAUUUUCAUAUUUUAAAUUGUGACAGACUGAGCCCUUUGGUGGGAGAUUACUGGGGUUUGCAAGGACUUGGUGGCAAUAUCUUGUAGACGUUUCUCAAGGAACAGCUGCUCAAUACCACUCUUCACACUCUAUAUAUUAUGGCCUGUCAGUCUAUAAUUCCUGCCAGGAGAGGAACUUGAACGCCUCUCUUCGCUGCAAAGGCUACAUAUUUGUGGGUGUGACAAUAUCCAAUUCCUGCCAGAAGAGUGUUUGCUGCCAUCUCUUUCUUAUCUGUGCAUCAACCAUUGUUUUGCCAUGUAGAAAAGGUAUCUCACAUUCCUUGCGUCAAGAUAGGCGAAGAAGUGAUCAUAAGAUAUGAGCUCUCUCUCCCUCUCGCUCACAUACAAUGUACUUAACACAAACACUCAAUCUGAUUUCUAUUAUUAUUUUGCUCAGUAAAUUUUGUUUAAAUUUGCUUUAUUUCUCAUUGCACUUGUUCUGCUGAUCACAACUUAUAUCCUAUUUAAAUCUCAAAUGCUGAAUAAUGAGCAGUCUUUUCGCAGGACAACAUAUCUUCUCUUGGAGAGCUAUUCAUUUGCAAGGUUUCUUUAUGGGUCAUUUCCAGAGGAGGGUUUACUAUUUAAUAGAAAGGUUCACCUGGAAUAUCUCAACUGACACAUUCCCAAAUACAGGCAUUGAAUGCACAACAUUUUGAGGUACUAUUUUUGUAAUAAAAAUGUACUUGAGUCUCAUUUGAGCUAGUUUAAAUUGUAUUCAAUGUCUAUGGAUAACCUGUGAGCUUAAGUUGUAAGAUAAAACUCACAGUAUAUUAUUAGGGUUUAGGGUUCAACUGUUCAACAGGUGAGCUUAAGUUGUACUUUCCUAGGUACUGCAUGUAUAUAAUCUUAGUAUCAACACUUGGUCUUAUGUGGACAAGAGAGAACAUUUGAGGAAUUACAAAAUCUUCUUAGUGAAUUAAUGUUGUUUCAGCUCUGUUUGUCAUCCCUCACAUUUUCUUUGUUAAGCCUUGAUUUUUUAUUAGACAUAAGAAAAAAUGCUUUUAUAAGACAGGAGAUGAAUGCUUUUAUAUGUUGAUGUCGUAGUCAGUCUUCAACCACACUCUGUUUUUAGAAUUCAUUUAUGUUACUAGUUGAGUGCUGCUGUAUUUUAUAUUUCGUUCCUGUAAUGUUUGGAUGUUUAGCUUGAGCAGUCUAGCUUAUCCAGUAGAUAACUUGUUCCCUGUUUUGUAAUGUUUUUGUUUCCUCUAAUGAAAGCAGGUUUUACUUAUCUUGAACUGCAGAAGCCUACUUUUUGACAUAGGUGGCAUGGCACAAACUCGCAUCCGCAUUUCCUUCCCCAUUGGCAUGCUGUCUCAUCUUUUGUAUUCUGUUACCAGCUUGAAGCUUGUGUAGACAUGUUAUGCUCUUGUAAUUCUGAUCACAAACAUCACUUGACAAAUGGAAAGUCACAAUCAGAUCUUUCAGGUGAUCGGGAGGUUUACUUUCUAACAUUUGUUUUCAUUGGGGGGAGGACAACAAUACAGAAUUUAAAAUUUCUGAUAAUCAAUAGUAGUUUGCAUAUAUCAGCUGGGACCUGUAUGACUGUAUUAUGUAAUUAAUUAUUUCUCUUAUUGUUUUGGUACUGUUAAAAGGAGUUAGCCACAAAAUAAAAAAGGAGGCCUCUUAUUUCAUACAAUUUUUCAAAAGUGAUCAUUCAUCCGUUUCUUUUUCAACAAUAGAGGAAUGUAUACUAAUCGUCUGGUCCAUCUGCUGCUUCACUCCCUAGUAGCUUCAUCUCCUGUCCUUUGCUUUAUUUCUGUUGAUGAAUGUUUUGUCUGGGUUAUUUAUUUUCAUUUCAUGUCCAUUGCUUCAUUUCUGUUUGGAUUCUGUCCUGGACUUGAACAAGGGUUAGGUUAGCUGUAUAAUUUGCGGUUUUAUAUACACAACUGUCUACAUUGAUUAAAACCAGCAUUAUUCUAAGGUUCAUUUAGAAUGUAUUAUCACCAAAAUUAUAAAGUAUACUUCUAUUACAAUUAAUUUGUUGAUUCUAAUUUGGACUUGUAGGAACAGACCAAACAUGUUCAUACGUGGCAUUGCUCAAGUCAUCAUCAUUCGGGACAGAGAAUAAGCCUUCAAAUGUCUGCUGAGUCAAUGAACCUUUCUAGAUAUCUCAAGUGUAGUGGAAAUUGAUGAGUUACAAAGGAUUUUUAAACAUUUUCUACUGGAGGCUAGAAAUGCUUCAAAUAAAUGACUGUGUUGCAAUUAUUUUGUAGGAUCAAAGACUCUGCAAAGAGGUAAGAAAGUCAUCAUCAAGUAACUUUGCUCUUCAAACUUUUUAAUUUUAUUUUUAAAUAUCAGUAAUAACUGGGAAAGUUUGCAUUUCCUUAAAUUGCUCAUUCUUACAUCUUUUAUAGUUUGUUGAUCUUGGGCAAGUGGAGAGAGAGGCGUCAAGUGAUACACAACAACCAUUUUCUGUGAGCUGAUUUGAUAAAGAGAAAUGGUAUGCUUUCUUGUCUUAAGCGGUGUGUUCUGCAAUUAUUUGAAACAAAGGAUGCCGCACUUCAAGUUCGAGAAAAUCAGGUAUUUUAGUAUUUUAUUCUGGAGAAAUUUGAUUUAUGUAGAAACUUGAACAUGUAAAUGAGAGAAAAAAAAAUUUAUAUAUAUAUAUAUUAUAUUGUAUAUGCUCUUAAUGAGUUAAUAUGGUGCUUGCUCCUGGUUGGAAAUUUAUGUAGUCAUCUACCUAUGAUCAAAUAAAGAUGAAAAAUAAAAUAAAAUUGAGAGCAUCUUCCUCUCCCCUGCUUUGCUCAUCCCUUGUUCUUCCACUUCAGCCCCACUAUUACACCAUUUUUUCAGCCACAAUUAUAAUAGCUCCAUGAGCAUUAAGUCCUUUUCAAAUUCUGCUGACAUUCAAAAUUGGAAUUGCUGGUGAUAUAUGAUAGCAUCCUUGUCCGACCAAAAAGAAAAAAAAAAAAAGUUGAUAGCAUAUUGUACCAUUUUGGCCAGUGUACGCAAUAUUAUUGCAUCCAACUUUGCAUAUUAACAUCAGUGGCCACAGUUCCAUGAUUUGAGUGCACAGAAAGGUUUCAAAAGUUGUCCCACAAAGAACAGUCGUUCAAAGUGAAAGAGAGUUUUCAAAGCUUAGUUACAAGUUCAUGUUAUUUACAAUAUCAAAAAGCUUUCAUACUUGCUUACAAACCUGUAUUUCCAAGUUCUGCAAACCUUGGAAUAUCACUUCAUCCAAAUCCCCUUCCAAAGCAGGAAAAAUGGCAGCAGCUUUGAUUGGAGAGGCUCUCAUCUCUGCUUCUAUCGAGUUGUUGUGUGACAGAGUUACUUCAGCCGAGUUCAUAGACUUAUUUCAGCAGAAGAAACUUGAUGAAACACUCCUCAUGAACCUGAAGACGACACUGUUGAUUUUGUUUGCGGUGCUCAAUGAUUCAGAGGAGAAGCAAAUUGUGAACCCUGCUGUGAGAGAGUGGCUUAACAGCUCAAGCAUGCUGUCUUUGAUGCAGAGGACUUACUUGAUGAGAUUGACACUGAAGCUUUGCGAUGCAAGCUGGAAGGUGAGGAUGAAACCCACAAUAAUUAACCAAAAAGGAUCUUUUUGAUUGUUUGAAAGGAGGGUCUUGAUGAUUUGAAAGGAGAGGGUUGCUUUAUUUCUGUUGGAUGCUUAAUUAAAUCUUAUUUGGAGUUGAACAAGGAUUAGGUUAGCUGUAUAAUUAGUGGUAAACGCCUUUUUCUAAGGGUCAUUUAGACUCAUAUUACGAUUAAUUUGUUGUUUCUAAUUUGGACUUGUAGGAACAGACCAAAUAUGUUCACACGUGGCAUCGCUCAAGUCAUCAUCAUUUCAGACUGAAAAUCAGCCUUCAAGUGUCUGUUGAGUCAAUAAAACUUUCUAGAUAUAUCAAGUGCAAUGGAAAUUCAUGAGUUACAUAGAGAUUUGUAAACAUUUUGAAGAUUGCAACACCUGCAAGUGAGAUAGGCGGUGACGAAAUCAGAGAUGAAGCCUCUGAUGCCCCUGUUGUUGCAAGUUGCACCUGAGAACAUGUUUUUUUUUCUUCUUUGGGGUAAAAAACUGGCAACAUGUUCGGAGCUGACAAUUCAAUCCCUGAUGAACUAGAGAAGCAAAGCUCCGGUAAGGAAAUUGGUCAAGGUUGUGACAGGGAUGAUUGAUGGUGAAAUGGAUGCUAUUUCUUAUUGCAGCCUGUUCUUAAAGUUCUUGUUGGCAAAUGCAAGAGAUGGAGUAUUUUGAUUGGGAGGAGAGAUAAUGACAUGGCUUGACAAUUCUAGAACAGCCCAUCAUUAAUCCCAGAAAAAAUCCAGUUUCUGCUAAACAAUCACUUAUGGCAAGGCCAACUCUGUAAAUGGAAUUUGUGAUCCCUUCAAAUUGUACACAUUUUUUCUUUUUGAGGAAUUUAAUCAAACAGUAUUCUAAUGCAUUAUGAUGGCACUACACGCUUUUGUUGUAACAAAUUACAAGGAGGAAUUUGGAUUGAGUUUCUUGUAUAAGCACACCUUACACAAAUUUCGUAUAUUUUCUUCCAGCAAGUCUGUCUAUUAAACCCCUUAUUUGAAAUUAAUUGUUAUAAGUUUUGAUUCAUCUUUAAUCAGUGUCUUCCCCUUGUUGAAUAACACUCCUCUUUCUAAUUUAUAUUUGAAGUUUGAGGUUUCAAUUUCAAUUGUGGGUUUUGAUUUUACAGAUUUUGUUUGUCAAUUUCAGUUUGGACAAAGCAUAUGCAAUCAAAGUAAGCAUUUUAUGUUAUACUUUUGAACUAGGUGUUGAUUUGAUUUAAUCAUAAGUUUUGCUGGUGCAUUUACUAGGCUAAUCAUUCAAUACUUUUGAUCAUAGAACUUCUUUGGUUGAUAUUAUCUUUGUUAAGUUUAACCAUAACUUUAGAGAGGGGACUUAACAGAUUUAUAAUCUCAUCAUUAUAGUAUUAAAAAUUAGAGAUUAUUUAAGGCAUUGUCUAUUAUCUGAAUUCUGCUUACUUUUAGUUCAUAUGUUUACAUCUUAGCAUAUUCAUGUGAUUAGUGCGGCUCAUACCACAAAGGCAAUUUUAGGCUCAUCAAGUGCUAAGCAAUGUCAAGCUUCCAAGUGACAAGUUCUCUACAUAGUUUGAGACCUACACUUACUAGAUAUUAGAUCAUUUGGAUCAUUUCCAUAUGUGUAUAUGUAAUUGACAUGUUAUAACAUUUUUGUAGCGUUAUAUAAUUAUUUAGCAAUUUAAUUAUUUCUUUGCAACUUUAUUUUUUUUGUCAGUCAUACUAUUGUUGACUGCUAAAAACCAUCAAGAAAUAGUUCUUAAGUUAUAAAAAAAAAUUAUAAAAAAAAAGAUUUGUUGAUGCUUAAAAAGCAUCAAGAACAGAUAGUUUCUUGACGGUUUUGUGACGUUUCAUAACUGUAAGGGGCUUUUUCUUUCGACAGCUGUAAAUGGGCUGGGCUGCCGUAAAGGUCAAGACUGAUGAAAUUGUCCCUUUUUGUCUGAGCUCGAAAAUUAUGCCCCAAAAUACUUUGAAAGGGCAGCAGAGCCUUAGGAAGUAUUUUGGUUACCCUCACCAACUAAAACAACAACAACUUACAGGUAAUUUCUUAAUGCUUACAGAUGAACUCUUGUGCUUGGCAUGAGUGACAUGUGGCAUGGAAGCAAAAUCAACAUGAGUUUAGCACUGAGGCGAAAUUUAGGCUCUCUUGGGGGAAAAAGGGAAGUGUUAAGGUGAGAGAGGAGAAGUUUGUAGGAGAUUUAGCUAAGAAAGGAGAAAUAUAGAACAAUGCUCUUCUGGCAACUUGACAGAUGCUCUGUCUGCCAAAAAAGGAAGAUGGAGAAGAAAUGUGAAUAGUGCACGAAUUUGCUAGAUUUUUGCAGGUAAGAGAGGAAGCUUGCCCUAUGGGUCUGAGUUGAGUUUUGUUGGGUGGAAGAGACCUCAUUUUAUAGCCCCUGGAAACCAUCACUUCCCAAGAAACCCUAAUGGCUUCUACCUAUUUUGGCCAAGCUUUUCCCUUCCUUUCUCAUUUCCUUCCUUGAGUUUACCCCUUUUGAUGAAAUCCCAUCUGCCUAUUUGCACCAGAUCAAAGUUUUUUGAAGCUCAAGGCCCCCAUUUUCUUGCAGUUGUCUCAAUGGGAGACUUCCAUUCCCAGUCAUUCUCCUUUAUUGCUUUCCUUUCUUUUUUUCAUGGCCUAGUCUGGUGGGGAAAGGAGUUGGGAUAUAUAUGCUGGUUUGAAGGGUGCUUCUCUUCCUGACAUCUUACACACUAAUACCCCUUGGUUCCUUGAAUGUUUUGGCUUUGAAACUUGCUCCCCCCCUCCCCCCAUGUACUGGAACCUCCCAGCAGCUCUGUUCAAUGAAUUUUCAGACCUUUUCUUCAUGGCUUUUAUUUUUUUAUUAACUGGCUGGAGCUUUUGUGGCUCAUUGUGGCAAUUGUAUGGGCUAAGGUGGUUCAUUAAGUAAGUGAGCUAUUUUUAUUAAACAUUGGGCUUUUUGGUUGAGUCACUAGGCUAUUUUGAUUGGGCUAUUGGGCUAUUUUUUCCUUUCUUGUACUCACCCACAUGUUUGGACCAAAGAAAUGAGCUUGAGUCCUGAGGCUCCCAAGCGACCCGAGACUUUCCAUUUCUCGGCCCAUCAAUGGGCCUCAUGUUGAUUUAUUACCAUCCAUACCACAACCCACUCAAGCAAGCCCCGGGCAUUUGAGUGGCUUGGGCCCACUUAGGCUUGUAGUGUGGUUGGGUGCGAAAUGACGAUUUCGUGCUUGGCAUGUUUUAAUUUUAUCAUCCUUGGGAAAGGCUGCGAUGUUUGAUUUCGGCAUGGGCUUGUAGAGCUGGUAUGCUUUAUUUCAACUCUAGCAUGACGAAUUAUUUAUUUAGCAUGGCACGUGAAUUACAACUCGCAUGGGGUGGGUUUUUGUGUACUACACCUUACGCCUCUUCUUAAUAGAACAUCGUUUUGGGCUGAUAAUUUAUUCGGGCCCAACUGUGAAUUUUUUGGGUCUCAAUAAUAACCAUCAUAAAAUAUUACAUUUUGACUGACGUCAAGAAAUGGGGUAUCCCUUUCCUGAUAGUGGCAUCCAUGAUGCCUUCCAAGCCGUCAAUUAAGGGCUAUCGUGAUGCAUUUUAGUUGUCAGCAAAAGGUGUUUUUCUUGUAUUGUAUUCACUCAAAAUCAUGUUUCAUUUAAGACUAGUAGUAUGGUUGAAUACCAUUUGUUUUGUUAAAGAAUAUUAUACAUUAGGGAUUUUUGUAGAAAUGUCAUUUGAACUUAUACCUUAGUUUCAAUUUGUUACCUUGAAGAAAAAUUUAAGAGAAAUGUCACCUUAAUUUUUAAAAAUCCAUGAUUUGUUAUAUGACUUUAAGAUCAUCCAAUUUUCCAUCCAUUUUAAGGGGAUUUUAGUCUUUUCAUUUUCAAGGAAAAAAAAGAGAUGAAAAAAGAGACAUCUCUCUUACUUUGUUGCCCAACCCAACCCAACCCCACCCGCCCCCCAAAACCACAUAGGAUUGCCUCCCCUUUCCCCACUUUUCUUUUUUCUUUUUGUCCUACUUUUCCACUGUGUUUAUGUUGAAGGAUCUAAAGUUUGCUUGGUCACCAUCUGUUACGUAGGCUUCCCAAUUGUUGGUUUGGGUGGGUUGUGGGAAUUUGUGUGUGGAGGGCAAGACCCUAUCUGACAGGACCUGCCUCGAAUUCCUCGAAACCCGAGACGAAUCUUGUGGAAUUCCCGACAUUACACCGAUGUCGGGCCCACUUAUGAACUAAAUCCUCCUUUCCAAAAUUAAGGAAAAAGAGUACGAGGCUUUCUGCCGAAAUUGCGGCAGUGUCUUCCUUAUAAAUUUAACAUUUCAGCUUUGGUGGCCAUUCUCUCAUUUUAGCUUUGGUGGCCGGAUGAGAGAACGGCCGGCUAAAACGUGGCCAACUGGCAUUGCCGUCGCGAGAGAGGAGAGAGAGAGAGAGAUUUUUAUCAAACCAUUUUUGCCAAAAUUACGAUUAUGCAACUGAGGGUAUUUUGAUCGUAUCUUUUUUGUUAUAACUCCGAUUCAAGCUCACUACAUGCCUAUGGAUUCAUCUCGCCGUGCUUUAUGCAAUUGUAUAGUUGAAAUUCCCAAAUUCCAUCCCAGUCAAAAGUCAACUUUAAACCCUAUAAAAUAUUCUAGGGGAAGAAUGGUCUUUUAUCUAAUUAAAUUAAUAAUUGAAAAUUUAUUUAGGAUCGGGUCGUUACACUGUCGUUGAUGGACUGUGCGAUGACACUCACACAAAGUCCUUGAGAAUAAAACACACACACACCGUGAAGAGAGUAAAACAAAUACACAAGUACACAAAGAUUUAUAAAGGUUUGGCCUCCUGCCUACGUCCUUUUGGUGAUCCACCCGAGAAAUUCACUAGUAUGUAAGAACAACUUUGGUUACAACUAAACCCCCUUAGCUUUCAUAAGAACCCUAGAUCUCUUUUCUCCCACCCUUGCUCCAACCCUUUGAUGCCCUUGUAAACACUCAAGAAUUCACCCUUGAAUUCUGUCAUGUGUUACAUCUUCUCUUCUCCCCUUUGUUAACCUAACCCUAAAAGUUAUAUUUAUAAUUCAUAGGACUUUAAGUACAAGUUAACUAGGAAUAGGAAACAUAAAAGACCCCCAAAAUUGGAGAAAAUAUGUCUAGAUCUCGUUAGGAAAUUGCACAACACGUGCGAUCCGCUCGAGCGCCUGCAAAAUCAUCCCUUUGCCGCUCGAUCUGCCGAUAGCUCAUGGGAUGGGGGAAUUAGAGAUUUUUUUUUUUUCAAUUUUAAUUGUUUAAAAGAUAUACAAUUUUUUAAUAAUAAUUUUUCCAUUUUUAAAAUACCCUUGAAAAUAGAAAGAUUAAAAUGCCCUUAAAAAUGGAUGGAAAAUUGGAUGGUGUUAAGAUCAGAUGACAAAUCAUGGAUUUUGAAAAAUUAAGGUAACAUUUCUCUUAAAUUUUUCUUUAAAGUGACAAAUUGAAAUUGAGGUAUAAGUUCAAGUUACAUUUCUGCAAAAAUCCUUAUACAUUAUGAUAUUCUAACAAUAAAAUUGGCUAAAAUUGAUAUGUUCCCUCUUUUAUUUUCUUUUUCUCUUUUCCUUUUCAUUUUAUGAUCCAAUCCUUUUCAUAUAUUUUUGUUCAAGACUUUGUUUUAGAAUGCUCUAUUACUAAUUUGGUACAGGUCCCUAAAAUCUCAGAGCCGCCUUAGUACAUUCAUAACGUACAUGUUCAGAGUUCAAGAAUAAUGUAUAGAAUGUGAAAUUGACGAUGCCGGCCUUUAUGAGGCAACGUCUUUAUUUCUUUGGUUAUUCCAGUUUAGAAUAUUUGCACAAAUGAGAUGACUCCAAGCAUAAAGUCACAUUCGACCAAAAAGCAUGAAGUCACACACAAAAAGAACACGGACAAUUGCUAAGUUUAUCCUUGUACCCUUAUUAUCCGACCCAAUUGAAAAAUAAAAAAAGAUGAUAAAAAAUAUUGUUCACUGCUUUAAAAUCUAUGAGUAGAGUCCUCCAUUUGAAAUUUCGUCAUUAUACAAAAUUGGAAUGAAAAAAGAAAAUCCUACAGCUAAAUUUGAUAUAUUUCCUUUUCAUUUUAUGCUGGGUGUUAGGGCUCGUCAAUGGGCCGGGCCAGGCUAGCCCGGCCCAAAUUUAAUGGGCUUGGGCCAGGCUGGGCCAGGCUUUAAAGAGGAGAGAGAAAAUAUCAGGCCGAGUUUUUUAAGAAAAUUCAAAGCCCAAGCCCGACCCAUGAGCCCGGCUUGAGAAAGCCCAUCGGGCCGGCCCGGGCCUAAACAGGCCCUACUUCGUUAAAAAAAAAUCAUAAACUUAAUCAUAAGGUCAUUUUAGUCCAAAUUUGAGAUUAAACUCACUUAAUUCCAAUAUUUUCACUUCAAACCAAAUUCAUAAAACACCCAAUAAAGUCACACAGCUUGUAAGAUUUUCCACAAAAAUAAUAAAACCAAGUACUAUUUUUGAGGUUAUUACAUAAUUAGAUCGUAAUAUGUUUUAAGAAAUAAUUUUAAAAAAUAAUAUUAAUAAGUAUCAAAAAAAUAAUUUUUUAAAGGAUGGUAUGAAUAAAUAUGCAAAUAUUUGGUGAUGUGUUCAAGAAAAGGAUGAUUAUAUUUGGUGGUACGAUUAUGUUUCGUGAUAUGAUUAUAAUUAGUGAUGUGAUAUGUUGUUCAUCUUAUAUAUAUAUAUAAUUGUUGAAUUAAUAAUUGACACAAAUUAAUGUGUUAAUCAUCCAAUUAUAAACUAGGAAUGAAUAAAGAAAAGUAAAUGAAAUGAAACAAAUUAUAUAUGUGAUUUAAGUGAUAUAAUCCUAAACCUAAACUCUUAUUUAUACAUAAUUAUAUAUGUAUGCGGGCCUAACGAGCCGGACUUUUGUGGGCGGGUAGGGCCGGGCUUUAUUGGGCUUAAUCGGGCUUUAUUGGACUUAAUCGGGCUGGGCCUAUAGGUCGGACCGAGCUUCAGACAUCCAAGCCCACGCCUAGCCUCGCCCGCCUUGGGCCGGGCCAUUCUUUUUUUGGGGUUCUAUUUCUCUUUGAAUUAACUGCUGAGUUUCAUGAACAUGUCCUCCUUUUGAAAUUGUGUAUUAUUCAAAAUUGGAAUUUGCUGGACAUACUUGAUAUUUUCGUGAGUAAAUUCUGAUUUGGUGGUUGUGCUCGUCACAAAUCAAUGAAAUGACAGCAGUGAUUUUGCAAGACAGCGUACCUUCUCUUGGGGUGCUUUUCAUUUUGCAACAUUUCUUUACGUGUAAUUUCCAGAGGAGGGUUUAUCAUUGUAUACAGCUCUUCGGGUGGUUUUUCUACAAAACAAAUGUCACAAAGAAGGAGGAGAAGCGGAAAAGAUUUACUUGGAAUGUCUCAAGUCUCCUUUGAGAUAAAGGCAUCGAAUGCACAACAUUGUUUUUGUGCUAUUUCAUAAUUAAAGUGUGCUUCCCAAGUCUCCUUUGUGUUUUGUAACUUGUAAUGUUUGUUUUUUUGUUUCCCAUGUUUUGUCUCUUAUAAAAGAAAGGCUUUUUAUCACAAAUGGUCCUUCAGGUUUACAAAAUUAUCACAAAUCGUCCUUCAAGUUUUUUUGUGACACUAAUAGUCCUUCAGGUUAUCAUUUACCCAUCAAAAUGGUCCUUCUGUCAGUUUCUGUCAAAACUGACGUUAAAUUCCUGUGCUCAGCCUGCUUUUGAAAUGAUAAUCUCAUCUUUUCCACUCAACCUUCAACCAAACUCAACUGUCAGAACCCUUUCCCUCCAUUUCCUCAUGGUCCUUCCAGUUUGGCGCCCCUGUAAUAUAUAACCAAUCUUAAAAAUUAAACUUCUGAAGAAAUUGAAACAAUCCAAGCUCAAGAGAAAGACCAACAAUUGAGAACUGCAGAGAAAGAUCAAACUCAUGGAUCAAUAUGGUAAAGCCAAAUUGAAAAACAUAAUUUGCUAAAGAUAAAGCCAAACUGAAAAACCAAACUGAAAAACAUAAAGAUAUCAUUGACAAAUAUAAAAAGUUAAAAAAUAUUGCACAAUCAAAAUACAACCACAUGUUUCACAAAACAAAACAAAACAACCACAUUUGCAGACAAGCUGUAGUUUACACUUUAACAAAGAUUAAAAAACUAACCUGUAUACUUUGGUUGUUUCCCCCCCUUUCGAAAGAACUCCUCGGACUCAUCCAUCUAGUCACUUUUGUAAGAAGAAUAAUGCGUAUUUGACUCUUACGAACCCAGAUAUUCCUUUUGCAGACCAGCUUUAUCAAUUAAAAACCCAAAAAACCUUAAUUGUGCAGGGCCCGAGGAUGAAAUGGAGGGAAAAGGUUAUAUAUGCGGUUUAGAGCGCCAAAAUGGAAGGCCCGAUGAAGAAAUGGAGGGAAAGGGUUAUUUCAGUUGGGUUUGGUCGAAGGUUGAGUGGAAUGAUGCGAUUAUCAUUUCAAAAGGCAGGCUGAGCACGCGACUUUAACGUCAGUUUUGACAGAAACUAACAGAAGGACUAUUUUGAUGGAUAGAUGUUAAACUAAAGGACUAUUAGUGACACAAAAAAACCUAAAGGAUGAUUUGUGAUAAUUUUGUAAACCUGAAGGACCAUUUGUGAUAAAAAGCCUAAAAGAAAUACAGGUCCAAACCACACGGAUCUACUUGCAUAAUAAUGGACCAAAUUUAUGAUUUUUAGAAAGAACCUUCUACUGGUGGAAUCUUGGGCUACUGUUGUGGCUCUCCUCUGUGUGCCUCCUUUUUAGAACGAUAAAAUAUUCAAAAUACCAGAAAAUGUUCAUGAUUAAUGCAAAUAUUAAGAAUUGAAAUUAUUAAUUAAAUGAAGAUAAUAUGGUAAAUUCACACUUUUUCAUAUUAAAAAAAUUAAAAUUAAAAGAAAUAUCAGAUAAUUACUCUUAUUUUUAUGGAACACAGCUACCCAUUAUCUUUUUUAAUUAUAAAAUAAAUUUAAAUUAAAAAAAAAAUCUCUCUCACAGACACGGAAGCGCGUGCUCAGAGGCUAGUUAAAAAUAAUGAACUUUGCUUUUGAAGACGUCUAUACCAGACCCACUCAACCUGCUUUAUGAUUAUGCAAAGAACAAACUCGUCCUUAGACUCAUUUGGUUAAACUUAGAAAAUAAUGAAACAAAAAUAUACACACCCACAAGUAACACAGCCAGGAUUGAAAACAACUGGAAAAAGAAAGGCAUGUCAAAACAAAAUUUUCAACAACUCAUCACCAUUAGACAAGAAAAAGAAAAAUCAAUACAGAAACAGAAAGAACAGAGAAUAAAUGUGGUGGAAGAAAAACGUUGAAGCCAUUUGUGAAUCCAACAACACUACCACUCUGUUUCUCUCCUUUUGUUCAGGCGGAUCUGCAUAUAUCCUAAGGCGUAUUACGGAAACAACUUCUUGCGGUUAUACUUGAAUGUUGUGGAUGCUUCAACGUUGCCAUCUGGGUGGAGUGGAUUUGUCCAAUUCACCUUCACUAUGGUUAAUCAACUAGACAGACAUAAGUCAGAAACAAUAGGUAUAUACGUCCAAAUUGUUGUUAUUUGAAAGGUUCUAAAUUUUAACAUUUUGUUGUAAAUGUGGAGAGAAAAAGUAGAGAAUUGGAAUAGAGAGGAGAGACUGAUUUUCUCAUUCAUAUGUUCAGAUGAAUGUCUUCAGUGUAUAUUUUACAAGUAGGGGGAGGUAUCUAUUUAUAGGCUAAGGUUUUGGUAAAAUACAGGGAAGGAAAGUUCCUGGAAGAUGCAAGGAAACUUCCUCUGUGGGCUCCACCUUCAAACUUUUACAACACUCCCCCUUGGAGACCACAAAUGAUAUGGAAUAUGCCUCGUUAAAAACCUUGCCAGUAAAAACCCAGUGGGACAAAAACUGGUCAAAGGGAAAAAGAGUACAUAAUGAUGUGUAACAUAAAAUUCUGUGUAUAUUGACGCGCGUGCGACACUGCCUCGUUAAAACCUUGCCAGGAAAAACCCAGUGGGAUGAAAACCUGGACGAAGGAAAAAGAGUACAGUGUUUGAAGAUCUUUAUUGAUAGCAUGCUCCCCCUGAUGCUUGGUAAAAUAUCUUUAAGUCAUACUGUUGAUCACCUUUCUGAAUAUCGUAGUUGACACUGCUGCUGUGAGUCAAUCUUGAGCGACACUGCCUCGUUAAAACCUUACCAGGAAAAACCCAGUGGGAUAAAAACCUGGAUGAAGGAAAAAGAGUACAGUGUAUGGAGGUCUUUAUGAAAAACCACGCUCCCCCUGAAAAAUAUCUCCCCCUAAAAAAUUUCAUGACUAGCUUUUCCAGUAUGCGACCAUAGAAAUUUUCAUAGUAUACUCUAAACCCUUGAGCGACACUGCCUCGUUAAAACCUUACCAGGUAAAACCCAAUGGGAUAAAAACCUGGAUGAAGGAAAAAGAGUACAGUGUGGAGCUGACCUCUAUCUGGUCUAGUAUACUUCCGGAAAAACAUUUAAGGUGUCCAACGGAUAAUCCUCAUAAAAAUGCUUCAAUACUUUCUUAGUAUAAGCAAGAAUCUCGUUGGCAUAAUGCUCGAUCUUUAAGUCGAGACAAAUAUUUCGUGACUUCUGCAGAAGCUUUAAUGUGUUGCAAACACAUUAUAAACAAUGUACUCACUGAGGUAAUUUAUGCAUAUUAAUAUUGAGUACAAAUUUUGUGCUUCAAGCACAUGUCCUUUAGGGACUUGCUUUAUGCAAUGUCAAUCCUCUCAACGGAUUUUGUUUAAAAGGGGAUUAAACUUUAUGACACAUUAUAUAGCUUUAACCCAGCUAUUUAUACAUCUUUAGGGAAUCACUUCAAGUGAUAUGCUCUGUGCAUUUAAUAACCCUUAAAGAUAACAUGUUGGUCUCCGUAAUUGUGCAGUAAGGGGGGAGGCACAAUUGAAUCUGUAAAUAUGGAAAAGACCCAACAUUCAUUGUUUCUGCCAGAAACAUUGUGUCAUACAAAGUAGGUAUAUUCCCUUUUAUUCCGAACACCCAAGUAUAAGUUUCAAUAUUAACAUCUUUUGGGGUUCGUACUGUGGGUUUGUUCUUUCACGUUCAUUCUCAUCUAUAAUGGAAUUACCUCUUUCCAUUUUGGCCAAUGAUAUUGUCGACAUCUAAUAAUUGAACGUGGUUCCAAUCAACACAGCCCAUUGAUGAUUUGAGUAGCUACUCCAAAACCAAAAAUUGUCAUUCAUCAAUUCAUUAUCCCACCAUUCUCAUGUGCAUGCGCAUGCAUCAAUUAUAAGCAUUUCUUUGCUUUUGGGUACCCAAGCCACUUCAGGGGGCUUUUAUUAUGUGAGAAUGUGGAUUAUAACCUCCAAUGGAGCGUUAUUUUGCAGUAGGGCGUGGAUAAUCUCCAUUUAGGGAGUUGGAACAUUUAGAACCCAUAUAUCUGUCAUGCUGCAGGCAUGCCACAGAUUAAUACAUACAUGUCAAUUAGUUUAUGGGACUUUAACCCAUAUGAUGGGACUUUAACCCAUGUAAUUUGCUACGCAUUCGGCGUGCAUAAUCUCAAUAUUGACAUGUCAAAGGAUUGUCCAUUCGGGACUUCAAUCCACAUCAUUUGCUACGCAAUAGGCGUGCAUCAUAUUGAUCACUGCUAUACCCAUAUUCUGUUCUUAUGGGACUUUAAUCUGUGCAAUGUAUUAUCAAUGUAUCCAACUUGCAAUCUGUAAAAUUUGCAUUAAUAAUACAUGGAUACAUACAAGCCAUUCUUUUGGGACGGACUUAUCUCCCCAUUUGGUUACCUUUCAAUAUAAAAUAUCAAAUAGGUAUAUAAGCAUAAAAUAACACAAGUAUUGCUUACAUCCUUAGGUGGGAGAAACUUUUCUCAAGUAUCGCUUGAUGAUCUUGUUAUAUCCUGCAAGAGCAAAAAUCACAAUUCCUUUCUCUGUCAAAAACAAAUAAGAGGAAUAGGUAGAACCGGUGAAUUUCAAAUUAACCAUAGGAAAAUUGCGAGAUUCUCGGGAUGCUUUUGAAAAAGUAGCUCCGUGAAAUCCGUAAAGCAAGAUUGGCUUUGAAAAUAAUACUUGAAAACGCCGAAAGUGCCGACAGGCAUUAUUAGAGGCCACGUGAAGUUUUGGACUUCUAGGAAAGAAAAAGAUAAUAUGGGGAUUCGAGAAGAUAUUGGGGUCUUGAAAAACAGUAGCCAUAUUUCCUCCUAUAGAUAUGGCCUUUGCAACAAUUGCGCACCUUCUUAAACUUGCACCUGUGGUUUUUACGCCUUUUCAAAAUGACGGUUUGGAACCUUGUGCCUUAUAGGUUCAAAUAACCACAUUGUUUCUCCCAAAUUUCAUAUUUUAUCGCAUGGUAGCCCGAAACUUUUGGCCUGGGCACAAAUUCAGAAUUUAUUUGCCCUUUUCAAAUGGACAUGAAAUAUGAAUUGAGUAAAAGCCAUGAUAAUAUCGCAAUAUAGUAGUGAAGAGCAUUAACUACUAUAUACCCACAACUUCAAGUUCAGGAUCUCUCAUAUAUUUGGAUCCAUGGGUUUCCGGCCCAGAUAUAACAAAAUAUGUGGGGAGCCUCAAUUCAUCAUUUGAGGUUCAUACUGAUAUUAUCCAUUUCACGGUGUAUUCUUGACAACCGGAAUUCACAAAAUAUAUUUCUUCCUUGAAGUGUCGAUUAUAACAAAAUCGAACUUUAAAUUCAUCAUCUUCUUAUGCCAAAGAAAUAUGUGGCAUACCACAAUUUGCAAUAAUACCUCAAGGGUUGUCCAUUUAAUUGUUGGAACUUCAGGUUCUCAACACUGUUAGAUUUUGAACUUCUGGCCAAAAUCACAUAUUCUCAUGGUAUGGACAUUCAAUCCCCUUAGAUUUUGAACUUCGGGCCAAAAUCACAUAUUCUCAUGGUAUGGACAUUUUUACAAUUUUCUGUACAUAUUUCUGGACUUCAAGCCCUUACAUAAUUGUCCAUAUUUUGAGGAACUUCUGGCAUCUCAUUUAAUUGCUCAUCCAUGAGUUUAAGGAACUGCAGGUUCCCUUUUGAAUGGUGAUGGUUUACCCAAAAUGGUAAAUACUUAUGCAUACAUCACUAUUCAUGUAUACGGCACUAUUUAUGUAUACAGUACAUUUGCCAGUACAGUUAUCAUCCAUGUGUACGGCAUUAUGAACAAAUACGGUACUGUUACAUCAUUAAGGAACCCCAUGUCCUUAUUUACAUGUCAGGGAUCAAGGACCCUCAAGUCCGAUCACAUGUUUACAAAUAUAGUACCGGAGAGACUGCCAGCUCUCAUAUUAACAUCAUCAUCAAGGAUCUUCAAGUCCUGAUGUAAUUGUAUGAUGAGGAUCAAAGAACUUCUGGUCCUGAUCUGUAUACUGUAAAAACUCAUCAUACAGCACAUUUAAUCCAUAGAAUAAAUUGCUGGUAAAUAAAUUACUGGUAUGGACGAUAAACUCGCACCAUACUUUAAAUAAAUAUUGCCUUACAUACACUUACAGCAUCAAUAAUUGAUAUCCAUCCAUGAUCCACCUGUAUAAAUGUAUAUAUAUAUAUGUAUAUAUAUAUAUAUUAUUUUUAUUUGGACUUAAACAGAAACAGGCAUUUUCUAUAGCUGUAAGUAUAAUUGUACCUGCCUACGCUGAAGAUUCCUUUCAUUGUUGCAGGAUGGUGGGCAUUCAGUUUAAAUAAAGCAAACACACACAUUUCAAAUUUUAAUUGAAUUUCAAAUUAGCAGUUUACUUACAUGCCCAUCCAUGACGUAAAAAGCAGAGACAAGUGAUUGUCUUUCGACAAUGACAUGAUAUCACAGUAGUGGGGAUAACGCUAUGAUAUUGGCCGAUCGGCUUCGCUGUAUCCCUGCACACCUUUAAUAAUUAUAUAAUAUUAAAAUAAUAUAAUUAUGUACCUGCACUAUAGACCUGCAUCUUAAGCUUCUUCCCUUUAUGGGGUCUGCCGCUUUGCCUUUUGUUUCCUUUGCUUUGCUUUCCACUGAAGCAAGUUGGCCAGCACCAAUAAUGCCGCCCACAAUGCAAAAAUCAAGUUGGCCAGCACCAAUAAUGCCGCCCACAAUGCAAAAAUCAAGUUGGCUACUUUUGCCUGUUGCUUUCUCAAUUUCCUCCACCCUUUCAUUGUCUUUUCUUCUUUCACUACUUCUCAUCUUCUGCCUCUCUCUUGCCUUUUUUUUUUCUUUUUUUUUUUUUGUAUUCGAUUUUCUGGCAAGCCUCCAAAGACAGCAACGACCAAGUUGCCUUGUCAUGGCUGGCGGCCAUUGCAAAAGCCUUUUCCAUGAAGAAAUGGACUUGGACACGAGGCUGGUUGAUUAUGUAGUUGGAGAUGAAGAAAGCAGCUGACAGUCUAGGGAGGGAGCGAACCAGAGAGUUUGUUACUCCACUGGUGUGGUUGGGAGGUAGGGAUCGUCUGUGGUUGGUACAGAGUUUUCUUCCUCAGCUCAAGCAAGGCAAUAGAGGUAGGUUUGUUUGCUCAGCUCAGCUCAACCUGUGCUCUCUGUGUUUGUUUGCUGGGUUAUCUGGGAGAGUAAUUUUCUUCGGGUUCGGUUCUGGUAUGCUUUUGCAUAUAGAAAACAGAGAACCCAGAAAGGAAAUCCAAGAGAGAGACUUUGGUUGAGAAAAUGGCAAUUUUUGAGAAAAAUGGAGAUGCUGAGGUUGGUUGGACAACACCGAAUGGAAGUUGUUGGGCUCGGAGCAGAGAAUUGGUUCUCUAGAUCGGAGGUUUUGUGUGAAAUUUUACUGGCAAGCAAUCCGUGUGGCUCUGUACAAAACUGGGUUGGUUUUGGGUGGGCAAUCUGGGCUUGGUUUCGAACUGGGUGUCUUGAUCAAUUUCUGGGAUCAAGAAAUCAGAGAUUUCAGCCGGUUAAAGACUCGUGCUGAUAUCGUGUUGUAAAUGUGGAGAGAAAAAGUAGAGAAUUGGAAUAGAGAGGAGAGACUGAUUUUCUCAUUCAUAUGUUCUGAUGAAUGUCUUCAGUGUAUAUUUUACAAGUAGGGGGAGGUAUCUAUUUAUAGGCUAAGGUUUUGGUAAAAUACAGGGAAGGAAAGUUCCUGGAAGAUGCAAGGAAACUUCCUCUGUGGGCUCCACCUUCAAACUUUUACAACACAUUUUGAUUUUUAAAUUUUGUUUUAAUAUUUCGGCCCACUUAGUUCUUCUCAAAAUAUGUCAUCAAUAUCGUUGAAAGGUUGAACUUAGUGAAUUAUUAUAGUGCAGUACGGUAGAAUAAGCACAUGAUAUAAUUUGUCCACAUGUUAUAAUAUAAGUGAAUAUUUAUUGAUAUUAUUUCCAAAAAUAAGAAAUAUCAACAAUUAUAUCCUCCUAUAUUAUAAUACAUAUACAAAUUAUACCACAUUAUCAUACUCUAAUACCAUUUUAUAAUUUCUCGUACUUAGGAGGUAUAGAGCGAGUCAAUGACAUUACAUAAUAUAUAAUUGUUCAUAUAAUGGGGCAACUAACGUGAUCAACAAGUUGUGGUGAUUAAUUUAACAUAAUAAAAAAUAUACCAUUUACUUGAGUGAUGUAACAAUUUGUUCUUUUAAAUUGGAUUGCCAUCACUUUAAUAUGUUAUGUUUCUUAUUAUAGUCUCCCAUGUUAAGUGCUUCAGCAUUGUUUGUGGUGUGUACACAAAUUUUCUUAUAAAAUGUUUUAAUGCUUCUCACAUGUAUAUCAGAUAUAGACAGUUGAUGUGACUUAGAAAUCAAAUUGUCAAUAAAACAAAAAAAUAUAAUUGGUGAUCGAGGUCCAAUUUAAUAGAAAAUAGUCUUAACUUGCAUAUUAAAGGUCUUAUAUUCGAAUCCUCACUGCAUUAUUGUUGUAUGCGUACACAAGAAAUUCUCUUCCCCAAUAAUUUAGACUAUCACUUAUACUAAAAAUAUAUAUAUAUAAUGACUUUUACGAAUGCAAACAUAAAAUUACAUCAAACAAUAAUCACUACUACAAAAAAGCAAAAAGACGACGGUAAAUCACCGUCGUGUAUUGGGGUUUUCAAUGGUCGUGGAAUCCACCGUCAUCUUUUCCCUCAUAAACCACGACGCUAAAUAACCGUCGUUGUUAAAAUAUACAACGUCAUCAACAAAUACAAAACGACGUCUUUGUACUGCAAAAAGAUCUAAAAAAAGCAAUCGAGGAUGAUAAUAGACGACCAACUCUCUAAAAAAACCGUCGUUAAAAAGAAAAAAUAUGACACAUAUUAAGAGAACAAGGCCGCAAGAUAGACAUACAACGACGAAAAUAAAAAUACGACGACGUUAAAUAUAAUUUUCACGACAAUAAAAAAUAUGACGUCUUUAAAUACAUUAGAAGACGACGUUAUUGAUACAUACUACGUCGCAUAUAUAAAAACAACCGUCGUAAAAUUAAUUUUCCACUUCGAUUUUUCGAUAAAAGAUGACGUGGAAAUAGUUGUCAGUGUCAUUAUUUACGACGUAUGUGUUUAUAGAUUAGACGUUGAAAAACUAAACAACGUCGGUUACAAAUAUAUGAGAGUCGUAUUACAAAAUUUAUACGUCCUAUUUUCAGAAACAAACAACGACGAUAAAUAUUAGACGUUGUUAAACAAAACAACGUCGGAAAAAUAAAAACAGACGUGUUUAGUCUGCUAAAGUUCUAGAAAAUAGUCGAGGAUGAGAAUAGACAACCAACUCAAAAAAAUCACCGUCGUUAAAAAGGAAAAAUCUGACACAUAUUAAAAGAACAAGGCCGCAAGAUAUACAUACAACGACGACAACUAAAAUACUACGCCGUUAAAUAUAAUUUACACGACAAGAAAAAAUAUGACGUCUUUAAAUACAUGAGAAGACGACGUUAUUGAAAUCUACUACGUCUCUUAUUUACAAAAAACCGUCGUGAAAUAAAUUUUCCACUUCGAUUUUUCUAAAAAAGAUGACGUGGAAAUAGUUGUCAGUGUCAUUAUUUACGACGUACACAUUUAUAUAGUCGACGUUGUAUUUAUAUGUAUUCAUUACUCACGACGCACUUAAUAAUAUAGACGACGUUGAACUUCUAAACAACGUCGGUUCCAAAUAAAUGAGAGCCGUAUUACAGAACAUAUAGACGGCGUAGAUUAUGAUGAGAGCCGUAUUACAAAUAACGUCGUUUAAUUGUUAUUAGACGGCGGUUAUAAUGAAUUUCCGUCGGAAUUCAUUUCGUUCCUCUUCGUUUAUAAAAGAACUUGCGACGUGGAAAAUGUAUGAUGACGUCGUAUUUUUUAACGUUCAGAUUAUAUAUCUCGUUUUUAGACGUCGGUAUUAUGGGAUUGGAGUCGUGUUAUUUUGAAUUACAUGGCGGUUCUUAAUCCUUCACCGACGUGAUAUCCUGAAUAAUUGCUUCACAAUAGCGUCGUGGUUCUUCAUUGUUACGUUGCUUUAAGACGUCGGUAAAUAUGCUGAAUAACUGAUUCACAAUAACGUCGUGUUUUAUUUGAACGUAGAAAGUGAAGAAAUCACAUUACAAUAUAUUACAAAAUUAAUGUCAUACACUGCCAAUUACAUAAGCAUCAUUCAAUCCAUAUAUCUUCACACCCAUCUCGAAUAUUUUGACCGCCUAACUCACCCACCAGUUCAUCAAAUGUGUCAACAUUUGGCAUCCCUCUAGUAAAUGGCUCACACUCAAUUAUCACAUCACCUAAGACUUCAUCACCAAUAACAUCAUUAUAUUCUCUAUUAGGCAUUGAUAACACUACCGACCAACCACGAUGCAUCGGGUCGUCAACAAAAAAUAUUUGUUUGACUUGAGAAGCCAAAACAAAUUGGUCAUUCCUAUGUCCAAUUUUACUCAAAUCUACAAGGGUAAAUCCAAGUUCGUCGACUACAAGACCAGAACUAUCUAUCCAAUCACACCUAAAGACUGGGAUUGUAAACUUUUGGUAGUCAAGGUCCCAAAUUUCUUGAAUGACACCAUAGAAACCCAUAUUUGAGAGAAUUGGGUUUUUAUCCUUGGCACUAGCAACUUGCAUGGUAUGUGCAAGUAAAUAAACUCCACUAUUUUGAGUUGUCCGCACAUCAUCUUGUGCCUUGAUAUUGAAUUUAAUACCUUUAAUAAGAUAGCUCCUAUAUAAUGGCACUGACAUGUUUGGACCAGCUGCUAGCCACCUUAAAUUUUCUGAUACGCCAUGAUUGUCUUCCUCAAGUUCACUUUGAACCUGCAAAUUAAUCAUAUCUUAAUUCAAUCUAACAUAUAAAUAAGAAGAAAAUUAAAAGAGAAAUAUGUUAUUCAACAACAUAUACCUUGAAGCGUAGCCAUUGAAUGAAAGUGCUAUUGUGCUUAUCCUGCAGCCACUUUGUUCUCUUUCUAAAUUUUGGAUAAGCAGUCUUGAUGUGGAUCAUAUGUUGCCCACAUGACACGAAAAAUUCAAGCAUUACGAUCCUAAAUAUAGAAGAUAAACAUAAGAAAUAAUUUAAAAUGGAAACUUAAAGAAUAAAGCUCAUACGUACUCGAUAUAAGGUAGGACUUCCUCCGUAUUCUCCAAGACAUAUAGAUGUGCUUGAUUCAACAGGUCCUGAUCAACUACGCUCACUGUGCAACCUGAUAAUGGCUUUGAAAGCCCCAUCUUUUGGCUUGAAGGCACUCCAACUGUACUAACAUCAGAUAAAUGCUGAGUACAACACUCUACCGCUUCUUCAGCUAUAUACCGCUCAGCAAUGCAACCUUCGGGACGAGUACGAUUCUGAACAUACCCCUUCAGCACUUUCAUAUAUCUUUCAAACGGAUACAUCCACCGAAAAUAUACUGGCCCACAUAGACGAACUUCUCUGACAAGAUGUACUACUAGAUGAACCAUGAUAUCAAAGAAUGAAGGGGGAAAGUACUUCUCAAGCAAACACAGAGUAACUACUACAUCUUCUUCCAACUUAUCUAGCUUGGAAACAUCAACAGUCUUUGCACAUAUAGCAUUGAAGAAGAAGCACAAACGAGUUAUUGCAUACCUUGCAGGCUUCUCCAAAACAGAACGAAUUGCCACAGGGAGCAAUUGUUGCAUUAAGGUAUGACAAUCAUGUGAUUUAAGGCCAAGAAGUCUUGAAUCUUGUAAAGAUACAAGAUUUUUAAUAUUUGAAGAAUAACCUUCAGGGACCUUCAUACCAUAGAAAGAAUUGCAAACCUCUCUCUUCUCUACUCUUGACAAAUUCCAAGGCCCAGGAGGCAAACGAGUACGUCUUUCUCCAUACUCGGGUUGCAAAUCAGUUUUGACCCCCAUGUUCAAUAAAUCUAAUCGAGCAGCAAUCCCAUCUUUAUUUUUUCCAGGGAUCUCCAGCAAUGUACCAAUGAUACUAUCACAAACAUUCUUCUCAAUGUGCAUAACAUCUAGGGCAUGCCUUACAGGAAGGUAUUUCCAAUACUCGAGAUCAAAGAAUAUUGAUUUCUUCUUCCAACAAACUCUGUCACCAUUUUCAACCAUAUGCAGCACUUCUUCUCCGGUUAAUGGCUCGGGAGGUAUGCCAUAUUCAGGUUUCCCAUUAAAAGCUGCACGUUGCCUCCUAUAUGGAUGAUUGAUUGGUAACCAUUUUCUAUGCCCAAUGUAACAAAUUUUGUGGCCAUUUUUCAACCUGUGACUAGGUGUAUCAUCGCCGCAUAUUGGACAAGCUUUAUAUCCUUUAACAACACAACCAGAUAAGUUUCCAUAGGCGGGGAAAUCAUUAAUUGUCCACAUUAAUGCAGCUCUGAGUGUAAAGUAUUCUCCAUUAUGUGCAUCAUACACUCCUCUAAUCCCAUCCCACAAAGAUUUUAAAUCAUCAAUCAAAGGCUCCAAGUAGACGUCUAUAUCAUUUCCGGGUUGUUUAGGACCGAAAAUCAAUAAGGUUAACAUCAUGAACUUUCGUUUCAUGCACAGCCAUGGAGGGAGAUUAUAUGUAACUAAGAUAACCGGCCAACAACUAUAUCUGCUACUUAGAGAACUGUGGGGAUUGAAUCCAUCAGAUGAAAGAGCCAAUCUCAAGUUUCUCGGCUCAUUACCAAACUCAGGCCAUUUAUCAUCAAGAAGUUUCCAAGACGGGGAAUCCGCCGGAUGAGACAUCUGACCGUCAAUUGAUUUUCUAGGAGCAUGCCAAGUCAAACUCUUAGCUGUCUCAUGUGAUUGAAACAUCCUUUUAAACCUUGGAAUUGGAGGAAAAUACCACACCACCUUCGCUGGCACACCCUCUUUCAAGAUUGAAUCUUUGCCUUCCUUCCACCUUGAGAUACCACAAGUAGGACAAUUAGUUGAAUCCUCAUACUCCUUCCUAUACAAGAUGCAAUCAUUGGGGCAUGCGUGCAUUUUCUCAUAACUCAGCCCCAAUGCACACAAAGUCUUUUUAGCCUCAUACAUAGAGGUUGGUAUUGUAUUUCCUUAUGGAAGCAAAUCGCCUUGAAGUAUCAAUAAUUCUGUAAAACAGACAUCACUCAUCCCAUGUUUUGCCUUCAAAUUAUACAACUUCACUAAUGCCGAUAACUUCGUGUACUUUCUACAACCAGGGUACACUGGUUGAUCUCCAUCCCCAAUCACAUUGGCAAACUCAUACGGAUCGGAACCAAAAUCAUUAUCAUCCAUAUCAAUUUCUUCAGACACAAAACUGUACCUACUAUGGCCAUCAUCUUCUUCAACAUUUCUACUAGCAUUAGUAGUUGCUUCCCAAGGUUCUCCGUGAAAUGUCCAAUUCUUAUAGCUUUGGUCAAUUCCAUUAAAGUAUAAGUGAUCCCUUAUAAUUCCAACCCCAAACAACUUCAAAUUAACACAUUUAACACAUGGACAACGGAUAUGUGUUGUAGUUAGAAGAUUUUCUACAGCAAAGUUCAAAAAUGCUUCCACCCCAAACUCAUAUGCCUUCGAUCUUCUAUCCGAGUGCAUCAUUGACUUAUCCAUCUCCGACACUAUAACCUAUUAUCUAUAAUAAAGUGAAAAUACAGGCAAUGACCAUCACUAUAGCAGAUUAUACAAAGAUCUAAUAGCAAGUAAUACACAACAAAGACGACGGGUUUUAAACAAAAACAGACGUAUUUGGCAUAUAUAGACGACGGAUUUUCAACAGACGUCGUCUAAUAUAAGUAAUACAAACGACGGUUUAUGAAAAAACCGUCGUGUAUAAGUAAUACAACGACGGUUUUUUCAUAAACCGUCGUGUAAUCGUCGGCGUAUGCCUAAAAAGGCGUCGUGUCUCAGUUUAUUUUCAAGAACCCAAAACCCAUUAAGAACACAACAUAUAUAUGAAACCAAGCAAGAAAACAACAUAUACAUGAAACCAAGCAUGAAAACAAUAAAUCCAUUCCCAAUUCAACAUAACAUAGGGUGAUUAAAAGAUCCGACAAAAUUAAAUCCAUUCCCAAUUCAACAUAACAGAUAAUGUAAUCCAUGAACCCAUUAAACAGAAAAUCCAUGAACCCAUACUUAUAAGCACAUUAUUAACAGAUCGCAAAGCAUAUACCUAAAACCCUUUAACAAAACAACCUAAUAUCAUUCAAUGAAUUUACAAGGGGAAGAUAGGGUUUGUACUUACAGGUUGGACGAGCUCACAGAUUCGACGGAGCAGAAGUGAGAGAGCAACUUUUAAUUAGAGCAGAAGUGAGAGAGCGAAAUGUUAUGUUGCGCGAAAUCUGAAAAUUUUAGGGUUCAGGGUUAGAAGAAUAAGAAUAAGAGCCAAAUAUAAAAAAAUUUAGGACGCGUGAAAAUUUUUAGAGCGCGCGCUCUUUAAAACUUCGAAAGAAAAACCAUGGCGAAAGUUCUACAAGAACCGACAUAAAUGUAAUAUUCCACGACGGAAACACUGAACGUAACGCCGUUUAUUUUGACGCUUCAUUUUUCGGAUUAAUUUUAAAUUUAUUUUCAAUAUUUUGAUAUAAAGACGACUGAAAAACCACGUCGGGGUUAAGAAAUUGAAAACGUUGUAAAUUAUAAUAGACGACUUACAUAUUAAAAUGACGUCGUUUAAAGUAGAAACUAUGUCGGAUAAUUUACUGCACGACGUAACAUAUGUAUUCCACGACUCAACCACCGUCGUUAACAAUUAAUACCCUAAACCCUUAAAACUAAAUUAUAUAAUUUUAAAAAUUAACUUUAUAAAAGGGUUUAUGGUUUUACAGCCUAAUAUAUACCCUAGACUACCCAAAAAUUAUACUUUAAAAAUAAACCCCAAUAAAUAACAACCCUAAUCUCUAAACCCUAGACUCUAAACCCUAAACCAUAAAACUAGAAGUGAUUUUAUGACUCAUCAAAACAAUUUUGUUUUGGAUGUUCAUUUUAAAUUUUUGUAAUUCAAAAUGAAUUUUUUCAAGGUUUAGGGGGAAGAAAAUAUAUCAAUGACUUCAUAGGAGUUGACUUUGCAUUUUUCUGAUUUAUUUUAAAUUUAUUUUGAAUAUUUUGAUAUAAAAAUAAUAAAAUAUUCUUAUCACAACAACAAACCACGUCGGUGUUGAUAAAUUGUAGACGUUGUAAAUUGUAAUAGACGACUAAGUUGUUAAAAUGACGUCGUUUAAAUGAGAAACGAUGGCGGAUAUUUAACUAUCCGACGUAAAAUAUAUAUUCCUCGACUUAACCACUGUCGUUACAAAGUACUACCCUGAACCCUUAAGAAAUUGAAGACGUUGUAAACCAUAAACGACUCCAUUGUUCAAAGAACGUCGUCUAAAUAUCCUUUUACGCCGGAUUUGUUUAAAACGAAACCACAAAAAACGACGGCUUUUGACUUUAUUACGUCGUUGGAAAAUUAUUACACGUCGGUUACGCAUUUUGUAUGUUUGUUUUUGUUUUUACUUUAAGAAAACCUCAACAAAUUUUUACAUUAUAUAUUAUAGACAAAAUUUGUACAUUAUACAUAAAUAUCAAGUGUUCAAUAAUUCCCCUAUUCCAGUUGAAUGCAAACAAACUCUGCCCAUUCAUUCCGGACUUCAUCAAUUGCUUCUUGGGGGUAUGGCUCUUCCUGUUUUCCCUUCGCAUACUGCAUAAAAACAAUGACUAUUAGGGUUUAUAAAUAAAAGGAAAUUCAAUCACAGACGACCAUAACCGACGUAGUAUAUCUAUUCAACGACGGUAAUUUUACAUGACCGUCGUUGAUAAUACAAAAAACGACGUAAAAUGUUUGAAGGUUAUUUCUUCUUACCUUCUUCUCAAACCCCAAGGAAGGAUCCAUGAUGAUGUCCUUCAUGAAGCGCAUCACGUAAUACCCGCAUUCGACAUUGCUGGGUUGCUUUGGUGUGCCUGACAGGGUUUUCCAAAUGACUGCCUUACGGCCUGAUCUGGCUAUGUGGGAAUUAUAAAUUUUUAUGGCACUGUUCACGAUGUCUUUGGCCUCUUCAUCGACCACACGAUUUCCUGGCAGAGGAUCCAGAAAAUAGACUGUUUCCCUCUUUGCUCUUACAAUCAGCAAGAUCCAAUGACGGCUGCACAAAAUUAAUAUAAAAACGACGGUUAUUUACAAAAACGACGUAUUAUAAUAUUUCACACGACGAAAUAAAGUAGCAAUCGACGACAUUAUAUAUUUAUAACGACGAUAAAUAACUACCGACGUGGUUAGUCGUUUCAAACGACUCAAUAAAAUAAAACACCGACGUGGUUAGUUUAUACGCUGUCAUUUAUUGAAAAUCAUAAAAACAAAAUCCUGUUAAGGAGACUAACCCUGGAUUGUAAGGCAUGAGGAAAAUCUGUUCACCGUCAGUCUUCUGAAGUCGUGAUGCUACAAGCCGUGAUCUGUCAGCUAUUGUGCCAGAGCUGGCACUAACUGUAGCAGGGUCGAUAAAGCCAACCAUUGUGCACAUAUUUGCUUGUUUUAAAACAUCGUGUAAGUACCUAAAUAUAUAAAAUAAUAUAAACAAGUCAGCGCAAAAAAAACACACGACGGUUAUGUAUAACAAAACGACGUAUUAUAAGGUUUCACACGACGUACUGAAAUAGACAACGACGUUAUAAUAAAUUUAUCACGACGGUACAUACUAACGACGUGGUUAGUUAGUUAAGACGACGCAAUAAAUAAACCAACGACGUAUUAUUUUAGAAUGACAAACCUCAUAUAUACAGCAAUGACUGUAGCUCCUAUUUCCUCCAUGCCUGCAAAUUGUGUAAUAUCUUCAGGCAGGAGGAAGGUAUCGCGCUCUAGACCAAACACCUCCUUAUCAAUUGUAAAGUGCAGGGUCUUAUCUUGAGUUACGAGUGUCGUUUCCACAUAACGACAAAGGGUUUGUAAAGAAGAUGGCGCCUCCAUAUUUGAAUAAUCAACAACUUUAGUAACCUGUUUAAAGAAAUAAAAAAAUGACGUGGUAAUUCAAUAAAAACGACGGUUUAAGGAAUAAAAUGUCGUUUGAAAACAAUUUAAACGACGGUGAAAAAACCGUCGUGGUGAAUUAUUUAUUACGUCUUAGAAAACAAUUCCGCCGUCUAAGUUGUAAACAAACGACGGUUUAAAGAAAAAUAUCGACGUCUGGAAUUUUGAAAACAAAUAAAAAAGGUAAAGUUAUGUGAACAUACCUGGUCGUCAUCUUCUUUCUCCUUUUCAUCUUGUUUUUCUUCCUUAUUCUCUUCAUAUAUGACGUCGGGAAUGAUUAACUCCGUCAUCUAAAAACCACAAAGUUUUAAAAAUAACGACGUUUAAUGGCGUGUAAAACAAGUAAACUAAAUACGACGUGGUAUUGAAAUACAAACGACGGUUUAUUUUUAAAAUCGUCGUGGUAUGUAUUUCAAACGACGGUUUUAUUAAAAAUAACGACGUCUAAUGGUUUUUAAAAAAACAGAGAAUUCAAAGUUCAGAUAUGUUACCUUUUCUUCCUGAUGUUUCCCAUUUUUGGCAGUAUCAUCCUCAAAAUGCUGGGAUCUCACAUCACCUCCAGAGCAGCUUGCUUUGUCAGACAUUGGAUUUUUGGGACUUUGGCUAAUUCUGGGUUUAAGCAUGCUUGGAUCAAAAUUGGGAAUUAAUUGGGAAAGCUGACUCAGGAAAUGCUCCCUCUCAGCCUCUACCAAUUGUUUCGUUCUAGCCUCCAUUCUUAAAGCCUCUUCCCUUGCCUUAGCCUCCAUCUUUUUAGUCUCUUCUUGAAGGAGAACUCUUAAACUGUCCUUCAAACGGUCGUCAAAGCUCACUCUCUGUGGUUUGGGUAAAUUGAAAUAUUGCUUUGGUGAGAUCCCAGCACCUACUCCUCUGACUCUGCCUGGAUGCUCGGGGCCCAAAGCCAUGGUCAGCACAUCAUUGCUGCCAGAGACGGUGACUUUGCCUUCCGAGACUUGUUUUUGCAAAUCAUCCUAAAACAAAGAUAUAUAAAAAAGUAAGAACAAAAACACACGACGGUUAUUUAUAUACAAACGACGUAUUAUAUAAUUUCACACGACUCAAUAACAUAUAAAUCGACGUUAUUAUAAUUUAUCACGACGGUAGUUAUACCGACGUGGUUAGUUCUUUAAAACGACGAAAUUAAUAAACCACCAACGUCUUAUGUAACAGAGGGAUGAUUCAAUAUUCACACCUUUAACGACGUUGUUUAAAACAUUUCGACGUAGUAAUUUAAUACAGACGACGCGAAAUUGAACCACCGACAUCUUAUGCUAUAAUUACAGAAAACAGAGUUCUGAUUCCUAUUUAGACCUUUAACGACGUGUUUUAAAAAAUGUCGACGUGGUAAUAUCAUUCACACGACGCAAAAUAUAACAUAAGACGUAAUAAGAAUUAUUCACAGUUUAAUAAAAAUUUAAAACAGAGUGAGUAGGCUUACAAUUAAUUUUGCUUUCUCUGCCACCUUUGGAUCAGGGAUGUUACCAUGUUUGUCAUGUCUAGCUCUCUUCCAUAAGGUAGAUCGAUCAAUUUCUACCCCAGGCAUGGUUUCCUCUAAUUGAUCCUCCAAACCGGCAUAUCCUUUUCGAGACAAUCGAUGAUUGUACUCGAGUUUCUCCCUAAUCUGUGCAUGUUGAGAAUGCACAGACUCAAAAUCUUUGGAUAGCCUUGAAGCUACAAAGGCAUCCCAUUGUGCUUUCUCUAUGAAUUUAUAUGUUUCAGGGGGUUGGCUUAAUCUCUCCCUGUCAUUGGUGUAUGGAAGGAUAUAAUGCCUCGUUAGUGUAGACUUGAAAUCCUUCCAUUUCUUGGCAGCAGAAGCUAAGACAGAGUUCUUGCCCCCUUGACCUACUACAAAAGCAAUGUCAACUGCUUCCCAAAUCUGCUCCUUUAUAUCCUUGGGGAUUUGAGCCCAUUUCAAGUCCACAAGUGGAACUCUGGAGCGUGCCAACACACCAAUAUAGGACUGCAUCUCACUAUGAGCUUGGCCAAUUCCUUUCCCCCUUUUAUUGUACUCAACAAUUGGCCUCAGUUUCUGCAGUUUUCUCUUCACAACACGAGGCAUUGUGCUCAUACCUCGACCAGCCUUUGAAUCAUCAGAUAUUGUUGUCCCGCUGGUUGGUUCUGUAUCAGCAGAUGAUGAAGCAAACUUCAUCUUCUUCGAAGACUUCAUUAUCUUCGAAGACUUCUCUUGAGGAGGUACUUGCUCCUCACCUCCAUUUUUCUUGGAGCCAGAAUCCUUACUUUAGUCUUGUUGAGAAACCAUUUUUACAGACAAAACUGCAAGUGAAAAUAUUUCAAGAAAAGAUUAAGAACACAAACGACGGUUAUUAAUAAAAUACGACGUAUGAUAUGAUUUUAAACGACGCAAUGAAAUAAUAUCAGACGUAAUAAAUUUUUAAAACGAAGGUAAUUAAACAACGACGAAAUAAUUGACUACAAACGACGAGAUAAUUAACUAUAAACGACGGAAUAUUUAUAUAACGUCGUGGUAUUGAUGUUCACACGACGUCAGUAGUAAUAUACCGUCGUCUAUAUAAGGAUCCAAAACCCUUCUUUCUUUCUCUGUGAAUGUUUGAUUGCAGAUUUGAUUUUUCUGAACCAUGGUUUUUGUUUUCUAAUUUGAUAAAAUACAAGGCCAAGAAAGAAAGUUUUGGAAUCUUAUAUAGACGACGGUAUUUUAAUAUGACGUCGUGGUAUUAACAUUCACACGACGUAAAACAAUAAGAUACUGUCGUCUAUAUUAGAUACCAACCCUAAUUUCUUUUUCUUUAUAUUUUAUCAAAUUAGGGAAAAACAAAAACCAUUGUUCAGAAAAAUCAAACCUGCAAUUAAACAAGCAAAUAAAAAAAAGACUAAAAUUUUAAAAACAACUUUGUCAAUUUUCAGACGACGCUAGAACGACUGACGAACCGUCGUGGUCUACAUAUUUAACCACGUAAAUAAGAAGCUACCGUCGUCUUAUUUAGUUAAGGUAGUUGUCUUCAAAGUUGGAAACUUUCCCUCUUUGUCUGUAUAUUUUAUCGAACUUGGAAAGAAGUAAAAUGAUUUUGGCCAGAAAAAAGGUAAAAAGAUUUUUCAAACAAAAAACGUAUGAGCAUGCAAAACAGCAACCAAAAUAGUGAAAAUGAAAGCUUACCUUUUGUGUGCAAUGAAAGCAAGAGGAAGACGAUCGAUGUUUAAAUUCAGAGACGACGAAGAAGACGAGAGGAAGACGAUGAGAUACUCUGAAAGUGCUCUGACAAGGAAAAAAGUCUAAAAGUUUUCUCUGGGAGAUUGAAAUUUUUAAUCGGGUUUGGAAAAAGUGCAUGUGUAAGUCAGGUAGACGAAAAGUUGCUUAUAUAUAAAACCAUUUCAAAAAAAUAAUACGGCGGUUACAUAUAACUACGACGUAUAAAUUACAAAAUACGACAGUACGUUUAACUUCGGACGUGGUAAAUAAUUACGACAGUAGUGUUAUAGGUACCGUCGUAGUAAACUCAAAAUUAAAGUACAUAAGUAAUAACUCGCGUCAUGGUAGAUCAUUUAACACGUCGGUUUUAUUAAUGUACCGACGUGGAUUUAUGUAAUAUACGUCGGUAAUACCGACGUUGAUUUUACAAUUUAAACGGCGGUUUUUUUGUAAGGACCGCCGUUGGUUUUAAAAAUUUAUUCUAUAAAUUUGUUGCUUUCAUUCAUUUUCGGUUUACAUUUAGGGUUCCAAGUUCUUCCUCUCUCAGAGACACUAUCUCUCACAUCUCAAAGACAGUAAUUUGGAUGUCUUUCUCAAAGAGAAAUUGAGCUUACUCGCAUCAAAUCUAUGUCCACAAGAAGAAGCUUGUCAACUAGCCUUCUCACUUCCUUGAUCAAGCCUGAUAGGACACUUAGUGCUUCUGAAUACUCCUUGCUUUCCAUCAAAAGAGAUGCAAGCCUGGCCUCCACUCGCUGUCGAAGGAAAGUUCGCUUCUCAGGGAAAUCUGAAGAUCAGAUGUGCCUGAUCCUCUGCUUGAUUUUCUUGGCUAAGAAGAUCCGUCAGAUUUGUGAUAGCCUCUUCCUUUAUCCGUAGAGCUUCAGAAGAAGAAGAUGGGUUUCAAGAAUGCGAUAAAGAAUAGAAAUGGCUUCAGAUGGCCUCUAAAGCAUGAGCAAUCGAAUCAGUGCUUUGAACUAUACUUUGAACUAUACAAGUCAAUGCUUUGAACUAUACAAGUCCUGCAGAAAGAUAAAGGACCAAACUAUUAAAGAAACCCCAAACUAACACGACGCAAUAUUUGUUUUGCGACGUGGAAUCUUUUCAUUUAACGUCGUUAGGUUUAAUAUAACCGACGUGGAUUUGAAUUUUUAAAUUAUGAAUAGCAUUUUUUUUCCCGUGACCUUUCAGUUUAUUUUUCAAUUACAGUGCGUUAUAAAUAGAGUUUUUUUUCCGGAGGAAAUUUAAAAUGAAGGAAAUUAAUGUUCUGGAAUAUGUAAAAUUUCUUUUUUGGAUGACAGAUUUAAAUAAAAUAAGAAUAUAAAAACAACGACUGUUUUUGUAUUACUGUCGUCGUUUUUCGUCGUCUUAAGUAAGACUAAGACAACGUAAUAUAUUUGUUGAGCGACGUUGAUUUGUGUUUUAAACGUCCUUAGGUAUAAUAUAACCGUCGUUGAAAAUUGUCUCUCUGAUUGCAAAUUUGCAACGACGUUAGGUAUAAUAUUUGUAGAUACACAAACGCACACACAUCAUCAACUUCCAAAAAAUUGUCUCUCUGAUUGCAAAUCUGUGUCAUCUGUUAAGAUUAUGAUGUGGAACAAAGUUCCAUUUGGUAAGAUUUCGUAACCCUUGGGAUCUCAGAAAAAUCUGAUUAUGUCGGCGAUUUUCUAUAUAAACCGUCGUGGUUAUUUCAAUUCUUGUCAUUAAGUAGAUCUACCGACGUAGGAUAAGAAAAUCAAAGAAAAAAAUUGUUAACAAAAAUUCUUAUUAAGACGACGGUUUAAAUUAAAGGUAAGACGUAUAAAAUGAAUAAAUACGACGUUAAAUUUUAUAGUACGAUUUAAAGAUAACGUCGUAGAACUAUACCAGAAUGACGUCGAUAUAUUUAUAUUUUUCGUCGUUGUACAUUAAUUUAAUACGGCGAUAUUUUGUAUUUUAAAGUCGUGGAUUUGUUUGUAAUUAUACAGCGUCUUAUACGAAAACCUCGUCGUGUUAUUUUAUGAGUAAAAACGGCGGCUUUUAUUGAAAUCGUCGUCUUUACUUUCUACGUCGGUUGAUUCAUAACUUCUGUCGUUCUUUGUUGGCUUUGAUUUUACACUGCGGAAAUCUGUUUCAAAUAGACGUCGGUUGUUUAAUUAAGUACGUCGUUGUUUUUGAACAGCCAUUUGAAUCUCCAUUUUUUAGUUGUCUAAGGUGGUAUUACACGACGGUGUUUUUAGAACCGUCGUCUUUUUAAAAACCACGACGGUUUUCACUGAGACCGUCGUUGUUUUCUGGUCGUCUUUUUCACUUUUUGUAGUAGUGAAUGGAAUAGAAUGAUGGAAGUUAUUUUUUUUUUUUCCUACGUCUAAAGUAUACUUUAUAUAUAUAUAUAUAUAUUUAUAUUUAUUAUGGAAGUUAUAACCGUUUAAUUUUCAGUUUUUAUUUUCUAUUUAUUGUUUUAAUUUUUAUAGUUUAAUGUGUAUGGAGAUUUCAAGUAUUGGAUGUUUAUAAAGGGUCACUCCUCCUUCACAUCUGAAACAAACCACCAUCUCAUUUCUGUAUUUUCAUACUUUCAUAUAUUUUCUACUUUCCAGAUUAUUAUUUUUGGGCAACGGUUCUGUGACUUGGAGAUUUCUAUCCGAUUAUUAACAUGCUCAUAGCGGACCUUGAGCUUGCGUAUUGAGGAUAGUAUCUUGGAGCCUUGUAGACCUUUAUUACCUGCAUGUAGGGAGGCUAUAAAUGCUUUAAGUCAGCGUCUUUGACGUGCUUUUGCUUUCUUUUUUUUACUUAUUUCUUCGUUACUUUAUUUUUACUUUACUUUUAAAUCUUUAUUUUAUGUAUUAUUUAUAUUUAAAAAUUUUGAAUAAGAGUUUUACAGAAAAGGAAAAACACAAUUUCAAAUAACACAAAUUUCUCGUUUUUUGUUCUUAAAAAAGAAGAAGCAUUGAUUGGGGAGUUAUGGUAAACUCAGUUUCAAUGGUUGCGAUGAGAGGCGGUGGCGGCGAGGAGAGGACGAAGGCUUUGCUGCCGACGGGGUGGUGUGGGUGGGUGGAGACCUCGGCUGGCUGCUUGGUCCUGGGUUCUCCUUUAAUUCUCUGUUUUCUUUUUUCAUAUUUUUCUUUUUCUCUUAGAGUUAUUGAUGUUAAGUGAAUGGACAGAUGCCAAGAGAAGAUGUGAACCCAAUUAUAUACAGCUGAUUACAUAAAGUAACAAAUUAAUUAAUACUUGAGUGGAGGACAGGCUCGAGUGGAAGAAUUGAUUAAGGCUUGAGUGGAAGACAAACUUCAGUGGAGGAAAGUACAGAUAAGGAAAGCAUGCCACGUUUAACGGCUUUAUCUCAACAAAUUAGGAAUGCUGGUUUUGUUUCCUCGGUGGUUGAAAGGUGGUGCCUUGGCUCGGACAUCUCCCUAGUAAUUAAUCGAAGGUGGAAUCUUACAAGACAUUCAGCUGCUCAUUAGCUGAAUAUCUCGCUCUCUUUAAAGAGAUCGAAGCAAACUGCAAUUUGCAAUUUGUGUGAUUCAAGCAUGAAUAUCUGACAUAGUAACUAUACCAUUUGUUGGUUUGAUGAGAAAAGUUUGGUUAGCGAGGAUGAAACCAUAAAGUUCCCCAAAACACACAAAGAGCACGGACAAUUGCUAAGUUUAUCUUUGAGUUCACGCAUAUUUGCACAAAUGAGAUUACUCCAAGUAUGACUAUACCAUUUGUUGGUUUGAUGUGAAAAAUAUGGGCAACGAGGGUAAAACUAUACAAACACACACAAAGAAAGUGGACAAUUACUAAGUUUAUCUUUGCGUUAUUCAUCCGACCUAACUGUAAAAUAAAAAAGAUGAAAAUAUAUAAUGUUCACUACUUAGAUCUAUGAGCACUAAAGUCCUCCUUUUGGAAUUGCACAAAACGUCACUUUUGGUCUUUGACAAAUUUUUAAAAUAAAUGAAUUUUUUACUUAUUUGUGGACUGAAAUGCCUCAAAAAAAAUAAUGAUAAUUUGAAGAAUUUGAUAGAAAUUAAAAAAUAUCCUCAAAUUACUUGGAAUUGAAGACCACAUAGGCAAAAACACCACUUUGGACAAAGGCUGGUGAUAAUAGUCGAUAUCAUCUUUUGUCGGUCCGACCUAAAAAGAAGAAAAAGUUGAAAGCAUCUUGUUACCAUUUUUGCCAAUGUGGGUCCAGACAAUUUGAAGAAGUCCACCGACAAUUUCUCAAAAGCUAUUGUGUGAGUGUUUUGAAGCUAAACCAAUAUUAUUUUGCACAUACGACCCCACAUCCCCAUGUGAGGCUACAGAAGUGUUUCCAAAACGAAACAUGAUAUUUCAAAACAAAGCUAUGUAUAGAAUAGAGUCAUUUGUAUUUGCUUUCACAAUAACAUUUUAUUUGUGAAAGCAUUUUAUAUUUUUACAUUAUGAUGUUCUAACAAAUAAAUUGACUAUAUUUGGCCAACAGGGUUUAACCGAGUAAAAAAGUCCUUAUUUAUAAACUACUGGUUUCAUAUUUGAACUCUAUGACAUUCUCUUUACCCUUAAAGUUUAGACUAUCGCAUGUAUUAUAAAUAAAAAAAAACAAUUGGCUUAAUUUGAUAUAUUUCAUUUUAUGCUGGGUGCCGUUAUUAAGUUUUAUCCUUGUUUCUUGUUGAAAAAAAAUUGAUAAAAAAUAAGAAUUCCUAUAGCUAGCAACUUCUCCACCUUCCCUUCUUCGCAACUAGGGAUGCCAUUGCAAGGUCACCAUCUCAGAUUAAGUCCUCCUUUUAAAAUUGUGUUGUUAUUCAAAAUUGGAAUAUGCUGGUCAUUCUUGAUAUAAUCUGUUCCACAAAAAGAAAAAGAAAAAAGUUGAUAGCAUCUUUUACCACUUUGGCCACUUUUGAAGAUAUUCACCGACAAUUUCUCAAAAGCUAUUAAGCUGUACGUCCACAAUAUUAUUGCAUCCAACUUUGCAUAUACGACCCCAUCCCCAUGUGAGGCUACAAUAUUGUUAAAAAAAUAUGCUAACAUUGUCAUUCAGUAUGCUAACAUUGUCACUAUGUUUGCGAAUUGCAUAUUAUCUAGAACAUAAAGGCUUUGGUGUUUUGUAGAUCCUCAGGGAGCCAAACCCGUCUUUAUAAAAAUGGUCCUUAUGAUACUACUUUAACAACAAUAAAGUAUAAUAAACUAGGCCUUUGUAGUCACUGAACGAAUGUUUUGUCAUAUAUAUGACUAUUUAAAUGUAAUUACGGGAUUAAAACAUUAUAAUAAAUUGGAGUGAACCAUAACAUUAUAUAUGAUCCAAUCCUUUGCAUAUAUUUUUGUUCAAGACUUUGUUUUAGAAUGCUCUAUUACUAAUUUGGUACAGGUCUCUAAAAUCUAUGCCUUUAUGAGGCAACGUCUUUAUUUCUUUGGUUAUUCCAGUUUAGAAUAUUUGCACAAAUGAGAUGACUCCCAGCAUAAAGUCACAUUCAACCAAAAAGCAUGAAGUCACACACAAAAAGAAUACGGACAAUUGCUAAGUUUAUCUUGUAUCCUUAUUUUAUUGAUCCAACCCAAUUGAAAAAUUAAAAAGAUGAUAUAAUAUACUGUUCACUGCUUACAUCCAUGAGUAAAGUCCUCCAUUUGAAAUUGCGUGAUGAUAUAAAAUUGGAAUGAAAAAAGAAAAUCCUACAGCUAAAUUUGAUAUAUUUCCUUUUCAUUUUAUGCUGGGUGUUAAGUUUUCUUAUUUCUUGUUGAAAAGAAAAAUGAAAAGAAAUAAAUAAAUUCCACAGCUAGCCACUUAUCCACCUUCCCUUCUUCCCAUGUAGUGACAACAAGGGAGGCCUUCAAUCCAAAAUAAAGACAAGGGAUGCCAGAUCAGCAUCUCAGAUAAGUAUCCCAACCAAAACCAAUCAAAUAAUGACAUAUGUAUCUCUUUUUGUGUUUUGUUCUAUUUCUCUUUGAAUUAACUGCAUAGUUUCAUAAGCGUGUCCUCCUUUUGAAAUUGUGUAUUAUUCAAAAUUGGAAUUUGCUGAUCAUACUUGAUAUCAGCUAAAAAAGUUUCCAACAUCUUGUACCAUUUUUUUCCAGUGUGGGUCAUAACUUGAAGAAGCCCACCGACAAUUUCUCAAAAGCUAUUACCAUCCAACUUUGAAAAAUAAAAGUUUUCAAAAGUUACCCCAAACAACAGUCCUUGAAAGAGAGAGUUUUCCAAGGCUAAAGAUUACAAGGAUGUUAUUUACAGUCUCGACAACGACAAGCUUCAUAUUUGUUUACAAACCUGUAUUUUCAAGUUGUGCUAGCCUAGCUACUUGCAAAAAAUAUCCAGUUGGCACAUGCAUUAACGUGUGACAAGAAGUUAGUUAUAUUUGUAAAGUAAAAGAACGAAGUACAUAGCAUGUAAGUUGAUGCUAAAUAUUUGAUCAACAGAGUUAAACAUAAAACCACUGACAAUAUAACGUUGUUCACCAAAAAUUGCAUUUCGUUGAGGGUCAGUAGUGUAGGUUUCAAGAUACGAUUUAUUUUGUUAAAGAAUAUUCUGAUAUUCUAACAAUAAAAUUGGCUCAAUUUGAUAUGUUUCUCUCUCUUUUUUUGUUUCUGUUUUCCCUUUCAUUUGAUGCUUUGUUGUGCUAUUGCUAAGUUUAUCUUAGAGACCAGGGAUGCUUAGCAAGUUUCUUCACCUGCCCUUCUUCCCAUGUACUAACUAGGGAUACCAUGUCAGAAUCUUAGAUAAGAAUCCCAUGCUUUGUUGUGCUAUUGCUAAGUUUAUCUUAGAGACCAGGGAUGCUUAGCAAGUUUCUUCACCUGCCCUUCUUCCCAUGUACUAACUAGGGAUACCAUGUCAGAAUCUUAGAUAAGAAUCCCAACCCAAUCAAACUAUGACAUCUGUAAGUAUUCAAAAUUGGAAUUUGCAUUGUGAUAGUUGAGUGGAAGAAUCGAUUAAGGCUUGAGUGGAAGACAAACUUCAGUGGAGGAAAGUAAUUAAUUAGACCAUUAUUUGUUGGUUUGAUGAGAAAAGUUUGCUGGUGAUAGUCCAUAAUCUUUGUCCGACCAGAAAAUAAGAAAAGUUGUCUUGUACCAUUUCUGCCAGUGUGGGUCCCACCCACCCCAUGCGAGUAAUUUGAAGAAGUCCACCGACAAUUUCCCAAAAGCUUUGGCGUCCAACUUUGCCGACCCCAUCCCCAUGUGAGGCCAUAGAAAAGUUUUCAGCCACAAUCAAAUAAGGAACAGUCCUUGAAAAGAGAGGGUUUUCCAAGGCCAAGAUUACAAGUUCAUGUUAUUUACAGUCUCAAAAAGCUUCCAUACUUGUUUACAAACCUGUAUUUUCAAGUUGUGCUAGCCUAGCUAUUUGCAAAUCUUGGAAUAUUUUACUUCAUCCAAAUCCCUUGAAGUCUGCAGAGAAGAUAAAAGACAUGGCUUUGAUUGGAGAGGCUCUUAUCUCUGCUUCCGUCCAGGUGUUGUGCGACAGAAUUACUUCACCCGAGUUCGUUGACUUAUUUCGGCACAAGAAACUCGAUGAGCCACUCCUCAGGAAGCUGAGGACGACACUGUUGGCCUUGAACUUGGUGCUCAAUGAUGCAGAGGAGAAGCAACUUGUGAACCGAGAUGUGAAAAAGUGGCUUGACGAGCUCAAACAUGCUGUCUUUGAUGCGGAGGACUUACUGGAUGAGAUUGACACUGAAGCUUUGAGAUGCAAGCUGGAAGAAGGUGAAGAUCAAACUCACAAAUUUACCAAUAAGGUGCGGAACUUGCUCUUUUCUUCUCGUAGUCAUUUUUAUCAGAGCAUGAAUGAUAAGAUAAAAGAGUUACUAGCAAGGUUAGAAAACUUUGUACAACUGAAAAGUGCUCUUGGUCUGGGAGAAGUUGCUGGGAGGAAGGUUUCGCAAAGAACUCAAACAACCUCCUUGGUUCUUGAACCUUAUGUAUAUGGUAGAGAUGAAGUCAAAGAAAAGUUAUCAAAAGUUUUGCUAUCUGAUGAAGCAGGCAAGGAUCCUGUGUCUUUCCUCACCAUUGUUGGAAUGGGUGGGGUUGGCAAGACAACCCUUGCUCGAAUGCUUUACAAUGACGAUAAGGUGAAAGGGCAUUUUAAACUUAAAGCUUGGGCUUGUGUUUCAGACUACGAUGAUUAUAUUAAAAUUACUAAAACUCUCCUUGAGGCAGUCACUUCAAAGCCUUGUAACACGGCAAAUCUGAAUUUGCUUCAAGAAGAUCUAAGAGAGCAAUUGAAGGGAAGGAAAUUUUUAUUUGUGUUGGAUGACCUAUGGAAUGAGAAUAAUGAGGAUUUGAACUACCUUAGAGCUCUUUUUAUUACUUUAGGAACAAUGGGAAGUAAAGUCAUUGUAACAACACGGAGCAAAAAUGCAGCAUCUGUCAUGCAAAAUGUUCAUAUUCAAUACUUAGAACCAUUGUCGCAGGAGGACUGCUGGUUAUUACUUGCAAAACAUGCAUUUGGAAAUGUAAAGUGUAGUGCACAUUCAAACUUGGAAGAUAUUGGAAACCAAAUUGCACGCAAGUGCAAAGGGUUGCCUUUAGCUGCACAAACACUUGGGAGUUUGUUACGUUGCAAUAUGAAUUUCGAGUACUGGAAUAGAAUACUAAAUGAUAGUUUUUGGGACCACCCCUAUGAUAAAACUAACAUUCUUCCGGCUCUAGGGUUGAGUUACCAUUAUCUUCCUACUCAGUUGAAACGAUGCUUUGCUUAUUGUUCAAUUUUUCCAAAGGAUUAUGAGUUUGAAAAGGAAGAUAUAGUUCAAUUAUGGAUUGCAGAAGGUAUAAUUCCACAAGCUGAGAAUGGAAAUAGGAUGGAAGCAUUGGCUAGAAUAUACUUUGAUGAGCUGUUAUCACGAUCGUUGUUUCAAAAGUCAAGUAAAUUCAGCUUCAUUAUGCAUGAUCUCAUUAAUGACUUGGCUAUGUUCAUGUCUCAGGGGUUUUGCCUUAGGCUCGAAUAUGGGGUAUCCCAUGAAGUUAAAAGAGCUCGUCAUUUGUCAUAUGCUAGGGGAGCAUUUGAUGCUGCUCCAAGAUUUGAACCAUUAUAUGAGGCUAAAUGUUUGCGGACCUUCCUACCUACCUCUUUAAAUCCAUAUAGAUUUUAUGAAAGAUUUUUUGUAAGUAAAAAAGUUCUACAAGAUUUGUUGCCAUCACUAAGAUGUUUACGGGUGUUAUCAUUGUCACGUUAUCAAAAUGUUACUGUGUUACCUGAUUCUAUUGCAAACCUCAUUCACUUGCACUACUUGGAUCUUUCCCAUACCGCAAUUAAAAGGUUACCUGGGGUACUUUGCAAUCUCUUCAACUUGCAGACAUUACUAUUGUCAAAUUGUUCCUCACUCCAUGAAUUGCCUGCAGACAUUAGAAAAUUGAUUAAUUUACAGAAAUUGACAUUGGGCGGUUGUAGUUCUCUUAAUAAAUUGCCUGCAGGCAUGAAGGAGUUGACUAAUUUGCAUCAUCUUGAUGUCAGUGGAACUGAAAUAGUAGAGAUGCCGGUGCAAAUGGGUAGACUGAAAAAUUUGAGAACAUUGACUGCAUUUGUUGUGGGCAAAUCUACUGGGUCAGGCAUAAGAGAACUGAGCGAGUUCCCGCAACUUCAAGGAAAACUAUCAAUUUUGAAGCUACAAAAUGUAGUUGAUGCGAGGGAUGCACUGCACGCCAAUAUGAAGCUCAAGACAGAUCUCAAGGAGUUAGAGUUUUCAUGGGGUGCGCAGGAUGCUGAUGAUUCCCAAAAGGAGAAAGAUGUACUUGACAAGCUCCAGCCUUGCGUGAAUUUGGAGAAAUUAACCAUUGGAUUCUAUGGUGGAACCAAUUUUCCGAAUUGGUUAGGAGACUCGUCUUUUUCUAACAUACAAGUCAUGCAUCUCAGUGACUGUAGUUAUUGUUGGUCGCUCCCACCAGUUGGACGGCUGUCGGCACUCAAAGAGCUCUGUAUAAAAAGAAUGAAGUCUUUGAGGACGAUUGGCGUUGAAUUCUAUGGCAGAGAUGGAGCUUAUCUGACUCAGCCAUUUCGAUCUCUGGAGAAGCUAGAGUUUAUAGAGAUGCCGGAGUGGGAGGAAUGGGUACCAAGUGGAAGUGCAAGUGGUAGUGAAUAUGGUCCAGACUUUCCUCAUCUCCAGGAGCUGAUUCUAAACGAGUGUCCGAAGCUAAGAGGAAGUUUGCCUUGUGAGUUGCCUUGCUUGAAGAAGCUUACGGUGUAUGGGUGUAAGGUUUUACAUGAUGGAAGGGCCGCUACCGCAACUACCAAUAGUCUUAACUAUAAAUCUCUGGAAGAAUUGGAUAUAAGGGGUGGAUGCCAAACUCUGUUAUCAUUAUUAGAGACAAAGCUCCUGUCCCGACUUAAGAUUGAAAAUGUUGACGUACAGUGCUUGCCCAACUGCAAUCGUCUUCAACGUUUGACUCUUUUGAAUUGUCCAACGCUGUCGUCAUUCCCUAAAGAUGGCCUACCCACUACAUUGACAUCACUUACUAUACUCAAUUGUAGGAGAUUAGAAUUCCUACCUCAUGAGAUGUUGGCCAAAUUAACAUCGCUUGACUAUUUGGGCAUACAAAGUAGCUGUGAUUCAAUGAGGUCCUUACCGUUGGGCAUUUUUCCCAAAUUGACGACGCUUCAAAUUCUUGGUUGUGAGAAUCUGGAAUCUUUUUCCUUGAUUGAAGAAGAAGGAGCUGUUGAGAAUCUCAGCCAUCUCAAUUCCUUGCAAGUCAUUAACUGUCCAAAAAUGGUGUGUUUUCACGAGGGAGAAUUGCCCUUUCCCAACCUGAGUCACUUUGUAGUCAUUGACUGCGAGAAUUUGAAGUCAUUGCCCGAACGCCUUCACACCCUCACUGCCCUUCGAUCUUUGAAUAUAUGGAAUCUUCCGAAUCUGGAGUCAUUUGCAGAAGAUGGGGGUUUGCCUCCCAACCUCCGAUCUUUUAUCAUUAGGAAUUGUAAGAGACUGAGGGCACUUGACUCAGUGGGUUUGCAAGCACUUGUCUACCUUCAGAUCGAUGGAAGUGACCAUGUCUUGGAGACGUUGCUGCUCCCUACCACUCUUCACACUCUCUGCAUCUCUGAUCUAUCAACUCUGAAAUCUUUGGACGGAAAGGGUCUUGGACACCUCACUUCUCUUCAAACUCUAAAAAUUUACAGCUGUCCAAGUCUUCAAUGCCUGCCAGAAGAGGGUUUGCCGCCAUCUCUUUCUCAUCUGAGUAUCCGCUGUUGUCCUACCCUGGAGGAAAGGUAUAAGAAUAAAACGGGACAAGAUUGGGCAAAGAUAUCUCACAUUCCUUGCAUCGAGAUAGGGGAAGAAGUGAUCAUAUAAUAUGAGCUAUUCCAUAUUUCACGCUCAACCCUCAACUCUCAAAUCAAAGUCAGGUGAGGUAUGUGCCUUCUCUUACUUUAAAAAACUGCUUCUCUUCUUCUAAUUGAAUACAAAAACCAAAACACAUAUUCUCUUUCUCUUCCAAAAACCCAAAUACAUGUUGGACAUAGCCCAACGCUGUACUUUCAUAGGUACUGCAUGUAUAUUAUCUUAGUAUCAACAGGUGGUCUUAUGUGGACGAGAGAGAACAUUGAGGAAUUACAAAAUCUUCUUAGUGAAUUAAGCUUGCUUCAGCUCUGUUUGUCAUCCCUCUCAUUUUCUUUGUUAAGCCUUGGUUUUUUAUUAGGAGAUGAAUGCUUUUAUAUAUUGAUGUCGUAGUCAGUCUUCAACCACACUCCGUUUUUAGAAUUCGUUUAUGUUACUAGUGGAGUGCUGCUGUAUUUUAUAUUUCGUUCCUGUAAUGUUUGAUGUUUAGUUUGAGUAGUCUAGCUUAUCCAGUAGAUAACUCGUCCCCUGUUUUGUAAUGUUUUUGUUUCCUCUAAUGAAAGCAGGUUUUACUUAUCUUAAACUUUUAUUUUUAUUUUUAAAUAUCAGUAAUAACUGGGAAAGCUUGCAUCUCCUUAAAUUGCUCAUUCUUACAUCUUUUAUAGUUUGUCGAUCUUGGGCAAGUGGAGAGAGAGGCGUCAAGUGAUACACAACAACCAUUUUCUGUGAGCUAAUUUGAUAAUGAUAAAUGGUAUGCUUUCUUGUCUUAAGCUGUGUGUUCUGCAAUUAUUUAAAACAAAGAGUGCCGCGCUUCAAGUUCGAGGAAAACAGGUAUUUUAGGUUAGCUGUAUAAUUCGUGGUAAAUGCCUUUUUCUAAGGUUCAUUUAGACUCCUAUUACGAUUAAUUUGUUGUUUCUAAUUUGGACUUGUAGGAACAGACCAAAUAUGUUCACACGUGGCAUCGCUCAAGUCAUCAUCAUUUCCGACAGAAAAUCAGCCUUCAAGUGUCUGCUGAGUCAAUGAACCUUUCUAGAUAUAUCAAGUGCAAUGGAAAUUCAUGAGUUACAUAGAGAUUUGUAAACAUUUUGAAGAUUGCAACACCUGCAAGUGAGAUAGGUGGUGACGAAAUCAGAGCUGAUCUUGAAGCCUCUGAUGCCCCGGUUGUUGCAAGUUGCACCUGAGAACAUGUUUUUUUGGGGUAAAAAACUGGCAACAUGUUCGGAGCUGGCAAUUCAGUCAGUGAUGAAGUUGAGAAGCAAAGCUCCAGUAAGGAAAUUGGUCGAGGUCGCCACAGGGAU
rnacentral:lncRNA from 1 species